AUCUUAUUAUUUAAGGAUGGGUCUGAUACAGGCUUUGGAUCACCAGAGAAACCUUAAAACAACAAACCUUGCUAGCCGCUGGACACAUCUCGCCAUGAUGUUUCAAAGGCUGUUUCUUCUCCAGUCUUUCUUACUGUUUUCCCUAACCACUGCAACUGCAAAACGUCUUAAUACUAAUAUUUCAAGGCUUAGUCCAAUAGGGCCAAGAGUUUGGCGAGACCAGCCUGAUAAAACUACUUUGUGUUGUGGUCCACGUGAUGAAGAAGGUUUUGAAACCUGUUUUUACAACCAAACACUUGAUCACUUCAACUAUAGGCCUGAAAGCUAUGACACAUUUCGGCAACGAUAUGUGAUCAAUUCUGAGCAUUGGGCUGGUGCGAAUGCAUCAAUCUUAGUUUAUCUUGGUGCAGAAGCACCGAUUAAUGGAUAUCGUGACGCUGCUGGAUUUCUAGAUGAUAACGCUGUUAAGUUUAAGUCUCUCUCGGUAUAUAUUGAGGUACGGAUACACUUAGUUCACUUAAUUUAAUUAGGCUUGCCUAUGCUUGUAUUUGUAUAUAUGUUGUCUUUGGUACGUUGAAAAAGAACCUAAUGAUUGGGGAUAAUAAUAUUUUUAUAUAUGUAUUUAUGUCAUCGAUCAGCACCGAUAUUAUGGAGAAUCAAACCCAUUUGGAUCAAUGGGGGAAGCCUUGAAUAAUGCAAGCAAACGAGGGUAUUUCAACUCAGCCCAGGCUUUAGCAGACUAUGCAGCCAUUAUCAUUCACAUAAAGAAGACACUAAGGGCUCAAUAUUCUCCAGUUAUCGUCAUUGGAGGAUCAUAUGGUGGAAGUAGGUGGAUCCGUACUACAUUUUCUGCAAGAAUAUUAUUGAAGAAGACUUUGAUUCCUUAAUUCCUCUUCUCUCCAUGUUUGUUAGUGCUGGCUUCGUGGUUUCGCCUCAAGUACCCUCACAUUGCCCUCGGAGCCUUGGCCUCAUCAGCACCAGUUCUUUAUUUCGAUGAUAUCACACCACAUGAUGCAUACUAUUCUGUAGUCACCAAGGAAUUUAGAGUAAUAUAUUUUGAGUUUUCACCUUUAAUUUUCUCAUUUUAAAUUAGUUUUCUUAUAUAAUCGAUCCAAAGUAUAUAAGAUAAAUAACAUUGUUUUAUACGUGGGAAUCUUGCGAGUGCAGGAAGCUAGCGAGACUUGCUACCAGACUAUAAAAACGUCAUGGUCAGCAAUUGAUGAGCUUGCUUCGGAACCCGGUGGUCUCUCAGAGCUUAGUAAGAAAUUCAACACUUGCAGGUAAUAUAUAUAUAUAUUGAACGUUGCUUGUUCAACUGAAUAUAUAUUCAAUAUAAUCUUACAUGCUAAUACAUAGCCUUGUUAUAUAUUUUGAUCUAUUAACUAUACUACGUAAUUUUCCUUGCUGCAGUACCUUGAGGAGUUCCAGUGAGCUCAAGGAUUACUUAAGGUUAAUGUAUGUUUACGCUGCUCAGUACAACAGGCCACCAGUUAACGACGUCUGUAAGGGCAUAGAUGACGGUGGUUUUGGGGAUGAUAUUCUAAGCAGAAUAUUUGGUGGUGUUGUUGCUUAUUAUGGAAACCUCUCGUGCUAUGUCAAUACACUCACCGACCCUGCAGCAGCUGGGGGGUGGGCAUGGCAGGUAAAAAAAUUACUCUAUUAUUGUAAAUGUUCAUGAGACCUUUUCAUGUUCUUUGUUUCUUCGCAAAACACAAUCAACAUACAAUUAAUAGAUUUUAUUUAGUUACAUAAUUGCUUGAGGUUUUUUAUACAAUUUAAGAUAACGUAACAUUUGAUUUGUAUUAUAUGUAGUUUGCUAAAUUCUUCGGUAAAAUUGUGAACCACUAUUCUUCCCGCUGGUAGUAUAGCAACCACUAUUUUUGCAUCACCACCACCAUCUAUUUGCCCUCCAUCAUUAUUGCCAGUAAUUAAUCAUUAUAACAACUCUUCUACCACCACCACAUCUUAUAACCACCAUUGCAAUUACCAUCUUGCCACUAUUAUCACCUAUCAUUAUCCAUCAGCAAUAUUAUCAUUUAUAUAUUCAUACCAAUAUUCACAAUCAUGAUUAUUAUCACUGUGUCAGCUAUUGUUAUUAUCAUGAGUAACAUCAAUUAUCUCAUCUAUUAUUAUUAUUAUAAUAAUUCCAACUAUAAAUGAAAAUAAAUAUCUUGUUUUUCUAAGAAAAUAUUUUCCUUAUCAUUUUGAAAAAGUGUAAAAAUAACUUAUUUAUUAAGAAAAUGUUUUACAAAAUAGUUUUCUAGAAAAAUAUUUUCUUAUAAAACAAACGAGAUAGUAAAAAAAUAAUUUUAAUUAAUAUGGUUUGUUUUUAAUUAAUAUCAUUUAGUGUUAGGAUAUUAAUAUUUUUUUUGUUAUUUUUUUUUAUCAUUUUUAAUCAUCGUGUCUUCAAUUUAUUCUUCUUAUUUUAUUGAUAAUUUAAUCUUAAAAAUUGAAUGUUGUGUGUUUAGAGAUGCAGUGAGAUGGCGAUGCCUCUAGAUGUUGGGAAUAAUUCCAUGUUCCAACCAAAUCCUUUUGAUUGGAAAGACUAUAUUGAGGGUUGCAAGAAUUUGUAUGGUGUCCCACCUCGUCCUCAUUGGGUCACUACCUAUUACGGAGGUCAUGUAUGUUCUCUUUAAUUUCUCCUUUUAAUUAACUCCUUAAUCUUCUAUAUAUUAAUGCAUUUUUUCACCUCCUUCUUUAUUUUUUCUUUCAUUGUAUAUUUAUUUAUUUUGUUUAUCUUGAUCUCGAUUUGAUAUUUAUUUAGUUAUUAUGGAGGAAAUGUAUGUGUUUCUAUUUGAUAUUUUGUCCCUUUUUUUUUAAUUUUCAUCACAGGAUUGAUUGUAUCUUGAACUAUAUAAUAAAGGGCCGUGCUCCUUUAUUACAUGAUUAUUAAAUAAAUUUAAAGUAUUAGAAUUUGGGUUUGUUUUCUGUUUUGCUAAGAACUAUUCCGAUUUUAAUUUCAAGCUGUUGAUGAUGUUGAGAAUUGUGGCAGGAUUUAAAAUUGAUUCUUCAGAGGUUUGGUAGCAACAUUAUCUUCUCAAAUGGGCUGAUAGAUCCUUACAGUAGUGGCGGGUAAAGAAAGAUAAAAUCUUUUGUUGUGUUCUCUUAUAAGUAAUCAGGAGAAUGUUUUUCAUCUAAUUUUAUAAUCAUCUUCCUUCUUUCAUCGCAGGGUAUUGAAUAACAUAUCAGAUAGUAUUGUUGCGGUUACCACAGUGAACGGUAAUCAUUAUUAAUUUAAUUAACUGCAUACCAUGCAGGCAUAAAUACGGAAAGUUAUUAAAUCUGGUAUAAAUGGUUAAAUUAAAGCUCCACUGACCUAAUUGAGUAUUAAAAAAAUAUGAAAUUUAAUUUUGACCAAGUUAUUAGAUGGUGGAUUACCAUAUCAAUCCAACCAGAUCAAGUAAGAUUCACUUAUUAUUUUUAUCUUUUAAAAAUAAAAAAACAUCAUUUUAAUUCAUCUUAAUAUAACUUAUUCAAUUUAUAACCUGUAUCUCGAGCCAAAUCAUAAACUAAACCGGUUUAAUAACUUCAUACUAGCUAAAUUUUGUUGGAAUAUCUGAUUUAAUAAAAUAUAUAUCCUUAAUUAUUUUCUUGGAUGUCCCUAUCGACAGGAUCUCAUUGCUUGGACAUACAACGAGCGAAUCAAAGUAGUGAUCCCUAUCGACAGGAUCUCAUUGCUUGGACAUACAACGAGCGAAUCAAAGUAGUGAUCCCUGUUGGCUGGUGAUGCAACGUAAAAAAGAGGUGGAGAUAAUUGAAGGGUGGAUUGACCAAUAUUAUGAAGAUCUUCAUGUGUUAAAAGAUCCCUUUUUAAUCAUAAGAGGGGGAAAAAAAGUGGAUGCUGCUGUUUCAGGUUAAUUAUAAAAUUAACUGCAGUUGAAUAAGAAACUAUUGCAAGGAUAAUUGCUGGGCCACUUUGCCAGCUUUAAAUAAAGAACAUGAUAUGUAUGGUUAUGUGUACUCCUGCUACAAAUCCACUACGUUUCAUGUAAUAAUAAGAUGGCCAAUUCCUCUUCAAUUCUGGUUUUUAUUUUAUUUUUAGAUGAUAAAGAUUUAUGAGUUUUGAAUUACAUAAUAUGGGUAGCCAUAGUAAGUUUAAGGGUGCUUGGAAAUGUGAUAGUGAUUAGGAAAAUACAUCAAAAUAGCAGAGAUUCUAUGAUAUGAGACUUGUUAUAUAAAAAAAAAGAUAUUAUCACCUCUUAAACAAAAAUGAUUAGGCAGGUUGCAUUGCUGUUUUUGUCAUAAAUUCCUAACAUUUUGUUUGUUUAUGCUAUGAUGGUUUGCGUGUAAUAUUCUUGACUCUGACACCAAUAAAUAUUUAACUACGAAUACUUCCAACUCUGGCGUUGAUAAAUAUUAUGUAGGUAUAAAAACAAAAUAAAUUUAAAUCAAUAUUUUUUUUCCCGACUCUAACAUCAAUGAAUAAACAUAAAAAUAAAUUUAUUUUUACGCAUACACAUAUUUUUUAUUUUUAUAUAGCUAAAUAUUUUUUUAAAAAAAUUAAAUUUGUAUUUUUAUUCUUGACUCUGGAAUCUGUGAAUAAACCGAUAAAAUAAAAAAAAAUAUUUUUUUUGCAUACACAUAUAUUUUUUUUUAUUUUCAUAUAUUUAUUUAUUUGGGCUAGACCCAGCCAGCCCAGCCCGAUCACUAGCCCAAGCCAAUGACCCAGCUGGGCAAAAAUAAAAAGCACGUGUGAAGUCACUUCACGUAUGCAUGAACACUGUGUGAAUGUAACAGUCCGAAGUGUACGACUCGAUUAAUGUUAAAAGAUCCCAACAUAUCCUCUUUAUUUGAGGGUAAUUUUUUUUUUUGUUUUUUUCCUAGGGUUUACAUUUCCAAAAAAAUUCGGCAGAGUUUUGUUUGUAUUUAGGAUAUCCUAAGUUAUCGCCUACUAUCCAUUUACUUGCAUGAUUUUUAAUUCAUAUCUCGGAAAUCCUAUCAUGGAUGCCAUUAGCCGAAGCUAAUCAUGUAAAUCAUAUCCCGACAAUCCUAUCACGAAUGCCAUUAGCCAAAGCUAAUCUUGUAUUUACGCUAGACUUUAUUUACAUCGAACACGACAUUUAUUGUAAUUGCAUUCACCAGAAGAAUUUUAAAUUGUAUAAAAAAUUGUAUAAGAAUUUUUUAUAUUCUUAUAUAUAGUAUUCACGUGAAAGUUUAUUGUUACUGUCUAACUUUGAAUUGUUACUGUCCAAUUUUCAACUGUUACUAUCCAAUCGUUACUGUCGCACGUGUACGGCAUCGCGGUGAAAACAUCCACCCUUAAAUUUGGUAUUAUCUAAAAAUGUGUGGAAAAAUAGAAUGAGAGUCGCUACCUAGUAUUUUGGUUACUAGGAACCCUAACUGGUCUCAAACAUCAGGUACGAGAACUGGUUGUGUAAAGGGAAGGUAUUAGCACCCCAAAUACACCCUACCUAAGGUAGACUGCAUUGUCUAAUUGUCUGAUAAAUCUAAAGUCUUGUCGUGUUUUCUAGUUGUUGGUCCGUCUAUGGUUUAAGAAAAAUCCUUGGUAAGGAGAUUCUUAUCUUAUCGAGUAAUUCUGGCAUCAACAAAAUAAAUUUAAUAUCUGAAAUAUGUCUUACGUAUAAGGUCGUAACCCUAGAUAUUAAAAGAAAAUAAAAUAAUUUUUUUUGAAAUUUUUGAGAUUUUUGAAAUGUUGGCCUAGUUUUUGUGACUUUAAUAAACUGGUUAUCAAAGCCAAAAUGCAUGCUAAUUUUUUUUUAUUAUUAAAAUAUGUACACACACACACACACACACAAAUACAACAUGAUUUAUUUUUGAGAGACUUGGCCGUAUGCGUUAAAAAAAAACCUUUUUUUUUAUGUUUUGAUGAAAACUAGGUACUUUAAUACCGGAUUUGCAUCUUUACUGUCAUAACCAAAUUCUGGGUUAUUCCCCAAAAAUCAAUUUGUUUUUCAAAAUAAAAAUAAAAAUAAAAUAAAGGCUGGCAAUGUGGAGAAGGUAGGCCGAGAAGUCAAGCUAUAAUUUUUAAAGAAAAUUCAUGGCCUAAUUGUACCCCUUUAUACCAAAAAAAUAGAGGAAAUAAUGCAAAUUCAAGGUGAAAUUGAAUGAUUAUUGGAUGAAUUUGCAUAAAAAUUAAGUCCAAGGACAUAAUUAAAUUUUUAAUAGGCCAAUUUAAUUUAAUCAUGGGCCAAAUUGAAUUUUAAUUAUGUUUGAGAAUUAAUUUUGGUUCAAUUAAAGGGUUUAAUUAAGUGCAAGGACUUAAUUAUACUUUAAAUGGGUCAAAUUAAUUUUAUUUGGGGCUUAAUUAGUGAAAAAUUAAGUCCAAGGAUAUAAUUAAUUUUUUUUAUAGGCCAAUUUGAUUUAAUCAUGGGCCAAAUUAAAUUUUAAUUAUGUUUAAGAAUUAAUUUGGGUCAAAUUGAAGAAUUUAACUAAGUGCAAGGACUUAAUUAUACUUUAAAUUGGUCAAAUUAAUUUUAUUUAGGGUUUAAUUGGUAAAAACAUUUAAGUUUGGGAGCCUAAUUUAGGCUUAAUUGAGAAGAUUGGAAUUUUAAGAGACCAAAUUUAAUUUUUACCAAGUUAAUUGAUUGAAAUCAGGGGCAGAAUUGCAAGAAAAUUGAAGUUUUGGGGUCAAUUAGGGACUAAAUUGAUAAAAUUCGCAGCCAAGGACCAUAUUGCAAGAGGCGCCACACUUUAGGGGUUUAAUUGACAAAAACCAGUGGCUAAAUUGAAAAAAUUGAAUGUUUAAUGGUCAAUUAGUGGUUAAAUUGACAAACUCCGAGACCAACAACCAUAUUGCAAAAGGCGCGUAAAUACGGGGUUGCAAUUGAAGUUCAUCAGGGGCUUAAUUGCAUUGAAUCAAAUGUUUAGAUUCAAUUAGGGGUGUAAUUAAAACAAAUUGAAAGCCGGAGGACUAAAAUGAAAUUCAGUAAAAAUCCCUAAUUCAGUCCAAAACAGCGCCAUUUUACUUAAAAAAAAAGAGGACCAGACGACGCGUUGUCGGGUCACUGUUCAUUGUCUUCCUCGUUUUACCCGAAAGAAAUAGCGUGGGAGCUUCCUUUGCAGGUGCAUUUAAUGCCUUAUUUUCCCAUCAAAUCGAACCAAAAUUGCACGAAACGGAUCCCCUGCAGUUGCUCUACAACUCCAUGUGAAUGGUUCAGGAUGAUUGACAGCACGACGACGGCGUGAAGAGGUCAACUCAGGCAGCCUUUACCUGCAGAUUUGACAACUCAAGGCGGCUACUUUGAACCGACGGUUGGGAUCCUUACCAACCAAAUCAAGUGCUGAAAUUUUACCCCGGUGCAAAUGAUAUUACCCUCUUCCACCGCCUAUAAAUAGAGGCUCCAUUGAUGGUCUGAGGGAGGAGAAAACCGGGUCCAAAGUUGACAAAAAAUCAGACCCACUAUCCCGUUUCUGCAGUUUCUCUCUCCCUCUCUCUCUCCGCCGCUCCAGCCACCACCAGCUUCUCCACCAUAGGAAGACACCAACCGACCACCGACAGCCACCACGAAUCUUCCCUCUCCCUCUGCAUAUUCUCAUAUUCUACAUCUUUUUCUUUCUUCCUCUUCCUCUGCAACCGGCCGCCAACUCUUCCACCGUUCUUCGCAGCGAUGCUGCCCGGGUCAUCAGCUCACCCUCCUGAUCGCGUCCGUGACCACCGCGCCUGGUAGCCUUCUCCUCCGCCGUUCCUCGCUCCUGCACCCAGCUCUCGUGGCCAUUGCAUGCAGAAGACGUUCUGCGUGCAACGGUGAAUAAUUAAUUGAAGGUGGGCCGGUUCUUAUUCGGCCCAGACCAAAUUCAUGGGCCGAAUCCGACCCACCCCAAAAAUACUUGUUAGGCCGAGAUCGACCCAACCAUUUUGGGCCGAUAACGGCCCACCCUUUUGUAGGUUUGGCUUGGCCCAGUUAGCUGGGCUGGCCCAGCCCACAUAUUUUAUAUUAUAUAAUAUAUAUUAUAUUAUAAUAUUAUUUUUUUUUAAAAAAUAAAAAAAUAAAAAAAAUCCAAAAAAAUUCAAAAAUCAUUAAACUUUUUUUUUUAUUUUCUCAAAUAUUUUUCUAUCCAUUUUGUAUAAUAUCGGGUUGUAUAUUUACAUUGUAAAAUACAAAUUCGGUAUUAAAAUACCCGGUUUUUCUUUAAAAUAUAUUUUUUUAAAAAAAUUCAAAACAUUUUUAAAAAGAAAUAAAAAUAUUUUGUUGCAUAAGGCCAAAUUCUAAUUUUUUUUCAAGCAUAUUUUUCAUAAAAAUAAAAUAAAUAAAUAAAAAAAAAAAACAACAAGAAAAAAAGUUGCAUCUUUGUCAUUUUUUUUUUAAAUCUGAAAAAGGAUAUCAUAACCGGUUUAUGAUUAUCCAUUAGGAUUUGGCCAACAUGUCAAAAAUAUUUUUCCAAUCUUUUUUUAAGGAUCCAAAUGUAGACUUUAAUAUUUGUGGGGUGUAAAAUUACACGAUAAAAUACACCCUCAUGUAUUAAAGAUACAAAGUGUAAAAAAGCAAUGCUAAAGUUUAGACUUUAGAACAGUUAAGAUUUAACCCGAUAUGGUAGAGACUCUCUCAUGAAGAGAGAUUUGCCUUGAGCCUUAGAAAAGAUCAACAAAUAGAAACCCGACCUAGAAAAAUAAUCAAACAACAACGCAGCUUACCUUAGGUAGGGUGCACUGGGGGUGAUGCGUCUUCCCCUUGCACAACCAAUCCCUUACUCAGACUCUCGCAGACUAAAGGUUCCUAGUGACCAUAAUACUAGGUGGCGACUCCUAAAAAUUAAUCAUUGUUGCACGUCAAAAUCCGCGCGGCGAUUCGACUUUGGCGAUUUUUCAUUGUCUUUGCUUGAUUUGGGGUCUUGGGAGUCGUCACCUAGUAUUGGAUUGAGGGUUACUAGGAAACUCAGAUUUACUGGUCGUGGUCAGAGAUUUGAGGGUAAGGGACUGGUUGUGGCUAGGGAAGGUAUUAGCACUCCUAGCGCACCCUACCUGAGGUAAGUUGCUUUGCGGUUUAAUGUGAUUUGAAAAUUUAAAAUAUUAAUCAAAUUCUUAAGGCUUUGAUAAAUCAGUUAUUAAAUCCCAGAAUAUAUGUAGAAACUUGUUCUUAUAUUUUCAAGGAAAAUACAACUUGAUUUUAUUUGUCCUUGAGAUAUUUAACCAUAUUUAAAUUAACAAUUAAUUUUUUUAUUUUUUUUAUUUUUAUAAUUCAAUAACAUAAAUAAAAAUACAAACACACACACAUAUCACUUUUUACUAUGCUCAACUCACACCUCACUUUUACAUAUUACAAAAUAACAAAAAUUAAAAAUGUACCCACACAAGGCCUUAACAAAUUCAAAAUUACAGAAAAGACCCCUAAAAAUACAGAAUCGCAAGGAAGCCUUCUGGGAUCAACUGGACUCGUGGUGACGCAUCCUCCAAUGCACGGCCGUCACUGGCGGCACGUGGGUUCACGCGUCGCCGCUGUCAAUGCCCAGAAACGGCCGGACCUUGGACCUUUUCUGCCUUUUCCACCGGUGGUGACCUGCAAAGAAAAAUCAAAUCACAAAAGCCAGUUGUUUUUAAUUGUUUUUCUUUGUUUUCAGAUCUGCUUUCAUCCUCUCUUUCUUCAAAUCUGCUGAAUCUGGAGCUGGGUGUUACGCGCACCGCCGCCGACAAGCCAGACGUGUGGAUGGCAGGAUCGACAAGUUCCCUCUUCCUCCUUCAUUUCUACACCGGUGGUGUUGUCCACCGCUGCCAUGGUUGGUAGAUCGGCGCGCCUUUCAAAUCUCCCUCUUCUGCCCUUCGGCCUCCCUCCUUAGUUCUUUGUCUUCUCCGUGAUGUGCUGCUGUUGGCAGCGGAGAAGAAAGGGGAGUGAGGGAACCGGCUUUGAGAGAAGUGGGGAGACUAUUCACCGUGUAAAAUUUUUUCGACCCGUCAAUAAUUUUCCUCCCCCCUUUUUUUCCACUGUAGCAUGGUAUUUAUAGAAAUAAUUUUGCUAGGUUUUCAAACUAGUCCCUCAACUUUUCCUUUCCUUUUCUUUUCCUUUUUUUUUGUAAAUUUUGAUUUUUCUUAUUUUUUUGUAUUUUUAAAAGCGAGCAAUAUCAACGUUAACUCAACAAGAAAAAUCAGUGAUUGUAAAAUUUACACGUUAAAAGUUGAACGCAUUCAAAAUACCUUUGAAAAUUUAGAUUCUUCUAAAAUGACGUUGAAAAUGCUAAAAAUGAUGCAAAUAUAUCAAAAAUACAUUUUUUGGGUUUUUUGUGGUUUUUUUUUUGCUAUUUUGGAUUUUUUUGAAAAUUUAUCAAAAAUACAGGUCAACAAUUGGGUAGCAACAAAUGCCCCCUCUUUACAAUGCUUACGAAGCAAAAAUUCCUCAAUGUUUUGCAUAGUAAGCUUGUAAAGAAAACAAAAAGUCUUCUUGGUUUAUUGAGUGAUUCACUCAAGGACUUUGCUUUUUAAAAGAAAAUGGUCUCAUUAUCUUGGGUGACCUGCCCAUUUGAAUAAAAUUGGUCUAUUUUCAAGAGCGACCUGCCCACACACUCACACUGGUCUAUUUUCAUGGGGACCUGCCCAUACAUGCUCAUUGUUGUCUAUUUUCACGGGCGACCUGCCCACACAUACUCACGCUGGUCUAUUUUCACGGGCGACCUGCCCACACAUACUCAUUGGGGUCUGUUUUCACGGGCGACCUGCCCACACAUACUCACACUGGUCUAUUUUCACGGGCGACCUGCCCACACACUCAUUGUGGUCUAUUUUCAAGGGUGACCUGCCCACACAUUCUCAUUGUGGUCUAUUUUCAGGGGCGACCUCCCAACACAUACUCAUAUUGGUCUAUUUUCACAAGCGACCUGCCCACACACUCAUUGUGGUCUAUUUUCAAGGGCGACCUGCCCAUACGUACUCAUUGUGUGGUUGCUCACACAUACUCACGCUGGUCUAUUUUCACGGGCGACCUGCCCACACAUACUCAUUAUGGUCUAUUUUCAGGGGCGGCCUGCCCUUUUGAUUGGGUUAACCUGAGAUCCGAUCUAGCGAUCUCUUUUAACUGAAACCAAAAUUGGUGUGUAGAUUGGUCAAUUUGAAAUCCCAUCUAGUGAUUCCCUUUAACCAAAGCUAAAUUCUGUAUGUGGUUGGGUUAACUUGAGAUCCCAUCUGGUAAUCUCCUUCCGAUACAAAGAUGUGUGUGUGGUCUCAUUGUAAUUGGUGACCUACCCAGAAAACAUGAUGAUCUCAUUAUGAUGGGUGACCUACCCAGGAAAAAAAAUGAUAGUCUCAUUGUAAUGGGCGACCUACCUAGAUGAAAAUUGAUGGUCUCAUUAUGAUGGGUGACCUACCCAAAUGGAAGAUGAUGGUCUCAUUAUGACGGGUGACCUACCCAGAUGCAAGAUGAACAAAAUAUGAAUUGGUCUCAUUGUUAUGGGUGACCUACCCAAAUGGAAGAACUGAUGGUCUCAUUAUGAUGGGUGACCUACCCAGAUGAAAAGGAUGAUGGUCUUAUUAUGAUGGGUGACCUACCCAGAUGCAAAUUGAUGGUCUCAUUAUGAUGGGUGACCUACCUAGAAGAAUGAUGGUCUCAUUAUGAUGGGUGACCUACCCAGAUGGACAAAAUAAUGGUCUCAUUAUGAUGGGUGACCUACCCAGAUGCAAGAUGAUGGUCUCAUUAUGACGGGUGACCUACCCAAAUGAAAGAUGGUCUCAUUAUGACGGGUGACCUACCUAGAGAAAAAGAUGAUGGUCUCAUUAUGACGGGUGACCUACCCAGAUGCAAAUUGAUGGUCUCAUUAUAAUGGGUGACCUACCCAAAUGGAAGAUGAUGAAAAGUGGUCUCAUUAUAAUGGGCGACCUGCCCAAAUGGAAGAUGAAAGGUGGUCUCAUUAUAAUGGGCGACCUACCCAAAUAAGAGAAUGUGACUUACCUGGCAAAAAAACUUGGCAGGCAAAGUCCUAACAGGAUAAGGCUGACAAACAGUGCUUCCUGAUUACAGGGUUGACUUCAAGACUCUUCUUGAUGACACGGUUGAUCUCCUCAUUUCUUUGAGAUUUUCCUACCGGUAGGGUUCAUCUCAUUCUUUUCCAUUCCAGGAUCUAAACCGAUUCUUUGUUAUUAUCAAUUGAAUGAUUCUUUCUGUCCACAAUCUUGCUGGACUUCAUUGAGGAUCUUCCUGUAACAAAUCACAAGUAUGUGCAAUUCUUUGAGGUUAGAUGACAUGCAUGCAUCCUUACCUGAUUUGAAAUAUAGCCCCCCCCUCUCUUUGAUAAUCUAUCGUCAUAAGGUGCCUUUGUUUGCAUUCCAAAGCCUUCCUUGUUCUUUCGAUGCAUUUGCUCAUUCAUGGGCUAGCCAUCACUCAGCUGUAAAUGUAGUGCCCAUCCUAGGUUGUCCACGAUGAUUACCACUCUUGCUAUUUAUCAAGCUUGACAAUGCCCCAAGUGUGGUGUUGUUUGAUUCAUCAUGAAGGAUUUUCUCUCCUGAAUUCUUCUAAGAAUUAUCCUCUGAUUGAUUGUGUGCAACAUGCCAACACCCAUCAAGAUUGUUAAUCAGUCAUGAACUUGCCUUCAGGUUGAAAGCAUUCAAGUAUAUAUGGUCACCAGCCUUCAUGGAACUGCCAAGUCAUCCAGACAUGGAUCUCAUGCUUUGUAGUAAAAAGCUCAUCAUUGUAAGCUGGAUGUUCUUCUCUAUGGAUUCCUCUCAGCUUGUCAAAUCAGAUCGUGAAAAGAAAUGCAUUGGCAUCAUCAAUGAUCCAUUUUAUCACCCAUAUUUAUGCGGUGAAGUGCAUCCUUGAGCUUCAAAACAGAUUGUCCCACAGUCAGUCUUGGUGGGUGCAUCCUUCUAGCAUUCAUUCACAUGCAACUAUGUGAUAACAUCGAUCAAAAGUCAUAGCCAUGUUGAAGAUGAUAAACCAAGAUGAAGAUAUGAAAAUAUCCUUCAAGUGCAGCGUUGCUCAUCAAUUGCUGCUGAAAUGCAUUAGAUCAUGGAUUGUCUUUGAACAACAUUGCCCCUAAUAUGAUCUGAAGGUUCGUUCAUCGGUUUAUACUCAAGAAGGUUUUUCUUUGUCAUUGUCAGAUGCUAAACAUAACUUUGAUGAACUUUGACGACUCAUCAUCUGAUUCUUUCUUUACCCCCAGCUGAUCAGAAUGUUGUUUGUUUUUCUUCUAAGGGUCCACUGUAUUGCCCCUAGGUGGUCAACAUUUCAAUGAGUGUCGGGAAAUGUUGAUGUCAUUUUGUCAAGGAUUUUGCAAACUCAAUCAAUGUUCUUGUUUGGAAAUCUUUCUUGUUCUGGGAUCAAAUCUCAUAUUUCAAAGAUCAUGUCUCUUCAAAGUCUAGUUGUUGAGAUGAAAUCAGAGAUGUUGGUUUUUUGAAGGUCUUUUCAUAAAUCAAGCUUUUUUGGUCAAAGACCCAACAUACACUAUUCAAUGUAGUCCUUUGAUUGUCUUGUAUUUUGAAAACAGAAAUGACUCGUUGUAAGAUUUAAAAUGACUUUUUCAUGGUUCUUUGUGUCAGUUUUAAUCUUUGAUCUUGGGGUAUAUCUUUUGAUGGUCUGCUAUGGGGUGACCUUCUAUGAAUUUCAGGAAAACAAAAGGCUCAAGUCAAAACUUGAGGAUUCAUCAAGGAAAUUGUUCUUUUUUAGCAACAAUUUUAUCAACAUGCAUAAUGACUAGUAGCUUAAUUCAUGAAGCCACGACUCUUAUGGAAAAGCUCUUCAAGUUUCGAGAUAGCCAUUUAUCGGUUCAGAUUGCUUACUUGAUUAAAAAGGGCUUUUUCAAGCACGUAAUGCAGGCUAUAGUUCAUGACUAUGAAAAAAAGGAAAUUCAUAGGUUCAAAAGGUGUUUGAGGGUUUUAAAGACCUAAGAUCAACAUCAAUUAUUCAUCAACUCUCUUUCUCUUGCAGUCAUUGUAGAGAAAGUGACAUACAACCUCGUUAAUUUUAGAGAUCAGAAAUCUCUUAACAUAGGUCAUAAUGCAAAUCCAACUUUUUCUUUGAUGAAUAACCAAUCUAAUCUUUUUUGAAGACAUUAGAGGUUUUCUCCUAGACACACUAAAAGACAUGAAACUUGAUUUUUUAGUGUUGACUUUUGGCAUUUGCUGUGUCUUUCUUCAAUUGAAACAUCUUUUUUCCCCUCUUAGAAUUGAUAGGCAUUUUCUUUCCUUUCCUUUUUUUUACAUUUUUUUUUUUGCAUAGCCUUCCUCAAAGUUUUUCUUGGAUGGCCCUCAAUUUAGAGCUUUUUCUUCUAGCCCUUUCUCAAUCAUUGGACUUUUGUUCUAAGCCUUUCUUUUAUCCAUUAACUUUAUCAGUUUCUUCAACAUAUCUCUUAUUUGCCCCCAGUGUGGGGUGUGAUCCUAGUCAGGGUUUCUUUUUGAAAGAAAUAUUUUACCAGGCUCAAAAUGGGAUUGCAAGGGAUAUUUUUUCAAGAAAUGUGAAAGGAUAACAAAGAUGGCCUUUUCUCAUUUCAAGCAAGGUCAGUUAAAACCGAUAAAUUUUGACCUUAUCUAGUGUAAUGAUUUGGACUUGUAAGAGUCAAUGAUUCACGGGUCCAUAGCUACCGAAAUCCACUACAUGUCAUUAUGCAUACUGUUAAACUUUAGCUAUAUGAUGUGUGGUUUAGUUUCAUUAGGUAUGAGUUCAAAAUUGUUUGGUCACCUCAUGUCAUUUUCAAGCAUCGAGUCAUUUCUACAAUCAAAACACUUUUCAUCUUUUAGGAUUGAUUAACUUUAAUUUUACAUGUUGGAGUUUGAUCAAAUUUUUUUUUUUGUCAAAAUACAUAUUGAAAUAAACAUCUCAUGCUUUCAGAACAACAAAGAAACAAUGAAAAGACAUGUUUCGUUAAAGGAUGAGAUAUGACCCCAAAACAAAAUACAAAAUGGCAAAAAUCCAUAACAAAGAUGAUUGACAAUCUAACCCCUUCUUAGAUCAGCUUCUCUGGCAAUAUCCGUGUUUUGCCAAGCAAUUCCGAUCACUUGUUAUUCUGAAAAUGAUCGAUGACAUCAUCUUUUGCAAAUUGAGCUCGACUCUUGAAACUCUUGCAUCUGUUCAACUAAAAUGGCCGAGGACCCCCACCAUGACAACACAUCUCUUGUCCAGAUUGAACCACCUGGAAAACAGUGGUUACAUGAGAUUUUUCGGAGUCAAGCAAAAUUAUAGAAUCUAGCAGAUGCUGGUAGGCCAACUUGGGUGGUAGAAGGAUGUCAAUCUUGACAGAGACACUUGAGCAGUUGAUGCUAUAGCAAGACUGGACUGGGCAAAAAUAAUUGAGGUUUCUCAAUUAAGAGUCAUCUCCUGAUUCAACUAUUUUACAGUUCUGGAAUUCAUGGCAGAACCUUCAAUCUUUCCUCUAUUCAUUACUUGUUCAAUGCUUUCGGUGAUCUUCACAAAAUCCCGUGCUACUGAACUGGAAUUGAGCUUACAAUAGGGAUGAUUUCAAAGAAGGCCAAUGCACCAGGUUGUCAUAAGUUGAUGACUGAAGGCAUUGCCGCCGUUCAUGGCUGAAAAAGAGAGGUGUAGCUUCAAUGGGAUGUUGACAUGCAGUGUUCCCAUAGAAGACUGUGCAAACAUUCCCUUGCCAUUUCAUGUUCUACACUUGUUCAGGCAGAUUUGAGUCAAGCUACUUCACCUUUGAUGCUCUCAACUUUCUUUUGACAAUGAGCCUCGUUCUGACCCCUUUCGUCAUUUCCAGUCCAGUGUGGUAGACCUCGUAUGGGGGAACCUAUUUUUCAUCCCGGUACAUGCAUGAUAAAUGUAUGACAUGUAAUCUAAAUGAUGAACUUGCCCUUCAAGGGGUGACAUAUGGUCAUAACUCUUGCAUGAUGAAACAAGAAUUUUUAUUCUUGAUCAAACUCUACAAUAGAAAUUUAUUGAGUAAUGAUCAUUAUAUCCCCCGUAAGUCCUGAAUUCAAGAUACUUUAAGAAGGGUUUGCCCAGAUGCAAAACAAAUAUUUACAGAGCAUACAUCCUAAAGGCAGGUUCUAAUCUUUUUACGUGAGACAAAAUGGUAAGUUUACUACUUGGUCUCUAUAAAAAGGUCUCUUGUUGUCCUAGUGAUCGCCCUCGUAAAGGUAAUAUAGGGGCCUAGUAGGUAAUGGGUUGGCACGUGUACCAAUAUUUACCAGUCUAAGCACUCAACAAAGAGUUGGGGUUUACACAAACUUAAACCUUGACUAAAAGUCGCAAGGUAAGCUGUUAGUCUCCCACCUAACCUAAAGCUUGUGUGUGCUGUCAAAAAUUAGAACAUGUGAUGUAUGAGAAAAUUCUAUACAAUGGAUGAAUAAAACAUAAAUAAAAUAAAACAAAAAAACUUGGAACACAUCAAAAUACAAAGCCUAGUCCGAUAAAGUUGAAAACAAUACCUUUCCCUAGUGGAGUCGCCAUUCUAUCGCACGUCAAAAUCCGCGCGGCGAUUCGACUUUGGUGAUUUUUCGUUGUCUUUGCUUGAUUUGGGGUCUUGGGAGUCGCCACCUAGUAUUGGAUUGAGGGUUACUAGGAAACUCAGAUUUACCGGUCGUUGUCAGAGAUUUGUGGGUAAGGGACUGGUUGUGGCUAGGGAAGGUAUUAGCACCCCUACAACACCCUACCUAAGGUAAGUUGCUUUGCAGUUUGAUGUGAUUUGAAAAUUUAAAAUAUUAAUCAAAUUCUUAAGGCUUUGAUAAAUCAAUUAUUAAAUCCCAGAAUAUAUAUAAAAACUUGUUCUUACAUUUUCAUGGAAAAUACAACUUGAUUUUAUUUGUCCUUGAGAUAUUUAACCAUAUUUAAAUUAACAAUUAAUUCUUUUUGUUUUUUUUUUAAUUUUUAUAAUUCAAUAACAUAAAUAAAAAUACAAACACACACACAUAUCACUUUUUACGAUGCUCAACUCAUACCUCACUUUUACAUAUUACAAAAUAACAAAAAUUAAAAAUGUACCCAAACAAGGCCUUAACAAAUUCAAAAUUAUAGAAAAGACCCCCAAAAAUACAGAACCGCAGGGAAACCUUCUAGGAUCAACUGGACUCGUGGUGGGGCGUCCUCUAAUGCGCGGCCGUAACUGGCAGCGCGUGGGUUCACGCACCGCCGCUGUCAAUGCCCAGAAACAGCCGGACCUUGGACCUUUUCUCCCUUUUCCACCAGUGGUGACCUGCAAAGAAAAAUCAAAUCACAAAAGCCAGUUGUUUUUAAUUGUUUGUUUUUUGUUUUCAGAUUUGCUUUCAUCCUCUCUUUCUUCAAAUCUACCGAAUUUGGAGCUGGGCGUUACGCGCGCCGCCGCCGACAGGCCAGGCGUGUGGAUGGCAGGAUCGACAAGUUCCCUCUUCCUCCUUCAUUUCUACACCGGUGGUGUUGUCCACCGCUGCCACGGUUGGUAGAUGAGAGGAGGCUGGAGAGGCUGCAAAGGGAAAGGCUGAGAGUUUGCAGUGAGGGAGAGAGUGUCUAGCCGGCCGGUUUCGUGGGUUUCUCUCCGGUUUCACUUUGCCAAAACCAAGGGGGAAAGGGGAAGGGAAAACUUUGGUUUUUCUUCUUCUAAGGGAGUGGCGGCCUGGGAGCAGAAAAGGAAGGACACCGGGGACUGGUCUUCGAGUGGCGGCUGCUUUUUCUUUUGUGGCCAAGGGUGGCGACUUCUUUUGUUGGCUAGGAGAGGGGAGAUGGUUUCUGUAGCUUGGGGCCGGCUGACAGAAGAAAAUCAAAAGCUUGGGGGGGGGGGUUGGACAGGACUGAGUGUGGAGAAGAUUGGUGAGGGAGAAGGUCAGUUUUGUGGUGGGCGGCGGCUGAGAGGUUUAGGUUUUUUUUUUACUCUUCACCGUGUAAAAUUUUUCCGACCUGUCAAUAAUUUUCCUCCCCCCUUUUUUUCCACUGUAGCAUGGUAUUUAUAGAAAACAUUUUGCUAGGUUUUCAAACUAGUCCCUCAACUUUUCCUUUCCUUUUCGUUUCCUUUUUUUUUUUUGUAAAUUUUGAUUUUUCUUACUUUUAUUGUAUUUUUAAAAGCGAGCAAUAUCAAUGUCGACUCAACAAGAAAAAUCAGUGAUUAUAAAAUUUACGCGUUAAAAGUUGAAUGCGUUCAAAAUACCUUUGAAAAUUUAGAUUCUUUUGAAAUGACGUUGAAAAUGCUAAAAAUGAUGCAAAUAUAUCAAAACUACAUUUUUUGGGUUUGUUGUUUUUUUUUGCUAUUUUUUAUUUUUAUAAAAAUUUAUCAAAAAUACAGGUCAAAAAUUGGGUAACAAUAAUCAUAAUUUUAUGAUUAAAUCCAAAAAACCCUUCCCAACACACAACACACACCUCACAUCAGGAGGCACGACAAGGAGCCUCCGUCGUCGCCAAACGACGUCGCGACCCACUGUGACAUUUACAGUAUAAAAAUACAAAUCAAAUACUAAGCAAAAUUUAGUAGAAAAAUACGCGGGAAAGUCAAUUUUUUUGAAAUAAUUUUUGAAGCAAAUUUCACUUUCUUUAUUAUUUUUAUUUUUUUUAAUGGGCUGGACCUAGCCCAAAAAAAAACAAAUUGGGCCGAGAUCAGCCCAAUAAAAUGCAAACUAUCUCAUAUUGGGCUGGACUCAGCCCGACCCUAUAGGUGGGCUGAAAUCCAACCCGAGCUGGUUACUGUUCCUAUGUACAGUAACCAGCCCAAAUACAAUUACCCGGUUAUUGUGCUCAUGCAUAGUAACAGGGUAAUUAUAUGUUCAUUUUGCUUGCAUAAACCUUCUGCAUGCAAAGAUGAUGAACAGGAAAUAAAAACAAGGAUAAGAGAAACUACCUGGAAUGAAGGCGUUUUUGUUCACGGUUCUAGUGGCUCCUAGUGGUGUUGGUGUCGCGGCAACCGACUGUGAUAGCGAACAUUGGUCGUCCUUCUUUUUUACUCUGCUUCAGUGUGCUAUUCUUCUUCCCUUGGUUUUUUUGUUCUCCCUGUAAACAACACUCUUGCCUCUCUGCAGCGACUUCUUGGUGGUGCGACUGGUGCUAUCGGUGGUGAUGGAGAAUGGCAGUGGCUGCUGGGCGAAGAAGAUGAUGAGCUAACGAUGGCGUGGGCAGUGCUGGUGCAGCUCUCCCUCCUUUUUUUCUCCCUCUAUCGUUCCCCUCUGGUUUUCCCUCUCCCUCUGUUUUUCCCUUCCUCUCUCGUUGCUUUUCCUUAUUUGUUCUAUUCUUUCUUUCCUUGUUGUCUCCUCUUUUUCCACCACGGUCACUCUCUUUGUUUUCCUUUCCUUUCCCUUCUGUCCCCUCUCGCUUUUUUUCUUUUCUUUUCUUUCCUUUGUCUCGUUCCACCUCUGGUUCCCCCCCCCUCUUCUUCACCCUCUCCCCACAGUAUUUCUGCCACCUUUUUUUUAUUAUUAUUUUUCUCCUCUCUGUCUUCUCUCUGUUUUUAUCACGUUCUGCCUCUAUUUUUUCAUCGUCUUUCUCUGGCUUUUAUAAGCCAAAGAAUGCCCUGCAGUGAAACAUUCGGCUUGGUAACGACAUGUAGAGGAAUAGUAGCCGUGAAACAUUCCCUAUAAUUGAAGCAAUCUGCUGUUUUUGUUGCUGAAAUGGAUCCACUCUCUAUUGAAACGGCUGUGAAGAAAGGUGAUGAAAUAGUGCUCUAAAACGACGCCGUCUUCCUAUCAAAAAUGGAUAUUUCUGAUUUGGUCCUUGGCUGUUUUGACAAUUUUCUAAUCAAGCCCCCCGGAUGAAUUGUAAUUGGAUACCUUGAUUUUAGCACCCUUUCCGGUUUAGUCAUUGGUUUCGGAUUAUUUCAAUUAAGUCCCUAAUUGGCCAUCAAACUUCAAUAAUUAUGCAAUUAAGCUCCUGAUUUGACCAAAUCAACUCUUUAAAAUUAUAAUUGGACCCCCUAACUUUAAUUUCUUCCAAUAAAAGCCUAAAUUGACUUAAAAAUCAAAUUUUCUUGCCAUCAAACCCUCCAUAAAUUCAAUUAAACCUUUGAUAAAAUUUAAUUGAGUCCAUGAAUAUCUGAUUUUGAAUAUAUGUUUUUCAAAAUUGAUUUUUCUUUGUCAAUAAGACUCUCAUCAGCUAACGAUAAACUGUCAAAUUUCAACCCUUUUCAUUUUUAAACCUCCUCAAUCAAUUUUUGGCUAUUUUUUAGCAUUCCAACAUCCUUUUCUCGCUCCUAUUAUUUUUUGGAUUUCUUCCGGAUAUUUUUUGAUAUAUAUUUGUUUGUAUUUUUUUAUUUUUGUGUGGGAACCCAAAAAUGGAUAACAACAGAUGCCUCCUCUUUACAAUGCUUACGGAGCAAAACAUCAUCAAUGUAUUGCAUAGUAAGCUUGUAAAGAAAAAGAAAAGGAAAAGGGAAAAGAAAAUGAUCACAUUAUCUUGGAUGACUUACCUCUUUUGAAGAAAAUUGGUCUACUUUCACAGGUGACCUGACCACGCACACUUACUGGUCUAUUUUCACGGACGACCUGCCCACACAUGUUCAUCCUGGUCUAUUUUCAGGGGCGACCGGCCCAUAUGUUCACAUGGUCUAUUUUCAUGGGCGAUCUGUCCUCACACUCACAGUGGUCUAUUUUCACGGGCGAACUAUCCACGCAUUUUUAUCCUGGUCUAUUUUUAGGGGCGACCGGCCCACAUGUUCACAUGGUCUAUUUUCAUGGGCGACCUGCCCACACACUCACACUGGUCUAUUUUCACUGGCGACCUACCCACACAAGUUCAUCAUGGUCUAUUUUCAGGGGCGACCCGCCCACACACUCACACUAGUCUAUUUUCACGGGCGACCUACCUACAAAUGUUCAUCUUGGUCUAUUUUCAAGGGCGACUUGCCCUUUUGAACAUAUGUUGCCUUAUGUCGCCAUCUUUGCGUGUAUGCCCUCAUAGACUCUUAGUUUUCCUUCUCCAUAGCCAUUAAGAUGGUUCUGUCAGGAGCAAUUUCCAGAUUAAAUUUAUACUGCUUCAAGAAGGCGUCUACCAGGUUUUUCCAUGUCUUGAUCUUAAUAUUGUCUAGUCUCAUGUACCAGCUCAGAGCAGACCUAAUGAGACUCUCUUGGAAAAAAUAUAUCAUCAUAAAUCACCUCGGCCUAUCAUCAUAAAUCACCUCGGCCUAUCAUUAUAAAAGUGUUUGGACAUUCCAAUCCAGUGUAUUUGAUGAACUCUAGUAUCCUAAAGUUCUUUGGUACUAUGACGUUUGGUACCAAACACACUUCAGCUGCUCGCAUGGGAUCAAACCAAUCAUUACCUUCAACUACUCUUAAUCUUUCUUCCAAAGCAGAUAAUUUGUCAUAGUUCAUAAGAUCAGUGGAUUUAUUGCCAGAGGGUCCAUCUGCUGUUAAAUCCACGGUGAUGGGUGCUUGACUUGACAAGAUAGGGGCGAUAGGCAGAAAAUGUUGUUCUGCCGUUGAAUCCGCCCCCAAGUUUUGAGAUGUCCCUAGGACGUGGAUUGAUGUAUUUUUCACAAGAGGUUGUGCAAAAAUCCUUUUUCCAUUUUUGGAGCCUAACACUUGUUCAAGCAAAUCUGUAAGUCUAGUUACUUCAACUUUGAUGCUUUCAAUUUCAUUUUGAUAAUGGGCCUCCAAUUGAGCUCUUUCUUUAUUUUCCAUCUUUCAGGUGUAGCAAAUCUUUGCUGGGGGACCUAAAUUUCAACCUGGUUUCAUGGAUGAUAAAUAUAUGAGUAUGUUCCUAUAUGAUGAGUUCAAGAUGCUUUAAAAAGGGUUUUCUUUGAUGCAAAACAACAGGUAACACACACAACCUAAUGAUAGGUUCUAUUCAUGAAGUGAGACAAAUGGUAGGUUGACUAUAUAGUCUCAAAAAGGGCCUCAUAUCUGCCUGUGACGAUCGUCGUAAAGACAGUGUGGAGGCGUUACAAGGAACAAUUAAAGCAUGUAUGCUCACCAAUACCAAGUAGGCACUGAGAUAUGAGUUGGGUGUUUCACGCAUCUGAACAUUGACCAAUAGUCAUAGGGCAUAUCGCUAAUUCCCCACCAAACUUAGAAGCUUAUGUGUGCUUUCAAAAAAAUUAAAGCAUGUGAUGCAUGAGGCAGUUCUAUACAAUGUGUCAUAACCCGAUUUUUGAAUAAAUAAAACAAAAAUGAACGUAUAAAAAUAUAUUUGAGAAUGGGGUUAAAACAACACAAAUUCAAAAUUCAUGGAUGAAAUUAUCAGAUUUGAGAGUAAAUUGAUCAGAAAUUGAAGAAUAAUAAGUUUGAAAAUUUAGUUAAAUUUUGGAUUAGUUUAAUUAAUGAAAUUAGAAGAAUUAAUAAGUUUGUGGACUUAAUUAAACUUUGAUUUAAUUAAUUAAAUAAAUUCAGGGACUUAAUUGAAAUUAAUCCAAGGGUAAAAUUAAAAAAACUAUUGAUUAAGGGACCCAAUUGAUACAUUUCAAACAGAAAGGGACCAAUCCAUAAUCUGUCAUUAUUUUAUGCCAAAUGAUGCCGUUUUGAUCCCACUGUUCAGCAUCCCUUCUGUUUCGCACGGACCAGACCGAUUCAACAGGGAAAAAUCCGGCAAUUCAAGGCCACGACACCACGAUCCCGCUCAUGGAUUGAUUAACAGGGGAACCGGUUUCUGCAUGCUCUGGCUUUAUAAAAGGCAGAGCAGAGCAGAGGCAAGGAGGAGGAUUUUGGGGGGACCAAAAAUGAGAGAGAAGGCCACGAACCAGCUCUGGGUUUAUUUCUCUGUUUAAUUCCCCUCUCUAUUUCCAGUGUUCUCCCCACUGGUUGGGUUUCUCCUUUUGCUCUUUUUUUUUUACUGUGUUUUAUGCCCCUGUUUUUCGAAGCUCUGGAUUUCUUCCUCAUAACCAGGAGCAGGAGAACGACGAGUGGAAGACGAAUACCACUGAAAAAACAGAAACGGGGGGAAGACCAUGAACAAAAACAGAGGAGAAAGGUAGCAGGGGUGAGAACCAGAGAGAGCUUGGGUCGAAUCAACCCGCAGCACUAGGACCCUUACUAUCACAGUCUCCGUCCAGAGCAAGGGAAUUCAAAAGCACAGAGCAAAAGCUUUCUUCCUGAACACAAAGAGCAAAUAAAAAAAGGCAAAGAGACAAAGCAAAGAAGGCAAGAAAAACAGAGGGGCAACCAUUUCAUGCCUGCAGAAAAAGAACAACCCAAAAGACAGUAGAGCCACACAGGGAAACAAAAGGAACCAGCCACCGCGCCAUUGUCUUCAGCGCCGUCCUCUGCUGCACAGGUAAGUUUCCAUUAUCUGCAAAACUUUCAAAUGCAGCGUGAAGGUAAUUUAAUUACCUUCACACUAUUCAUGCACGCUUCAUGCGUGCUUCUUCUUCUUUUGCCCAGCCGGGCUACUGGCUUGGCCAGUGGCUGGACCGGGCCUAGCCCAACCCAUAUGGACGGAGCUGGGUCCAACCCCAAAAAAUAAAAUAUAUGCCGGCCCAGACCAAAAACAAAAUAUAAUAAAAAAAUAGAAAAAUAAAAAAGGUAGAGAAAAAUAAAAAAAUAUAUAUGCACGAAUAAAGAUAAAAUAAAUUUAUUGUUUUAUUCACUGACGUCACAAUUAAGAAUAAAAAUAUCGGUUUAAAUUUAUAUUAUUUUUAUUCGUUGUAUUUUAUUUUAUUUAACUAGAAAAAUAAAAAAAAUAUGUGCAUGCGUAAAAAUAAAUUUACUUUUAUUUAUUUAUUCACUGGCGCUAGAGUCGGGAAUAAAAAAUAUUAACCUAAUUUAUUUUAUAGCUAUGUGAUAUUUACCAACGCCAUAGUUGAAAGUAUUUGUAGUUGAAUAUUUAUUGGCGCCAGAGUCAGAAAUAUUAUAAGCAAAUUAUCGUAGCGUAAACUAAUAAACAUUUAGCAAUUUAAAACGAAGCCAGCAAUGCAACCUACCUCAGGUAGGACGUUUAAUGGGUGAUAAUAUCUUUCCUUUUACGUAACCAGUCCCAAACCAUAGAAUCUUUGCUGACCAGUUAGGGUUCCUAGUGACUAUAAUACUAGGUGACGACUCCUUAAACAAGACCAUUCCCCAUCAAAGAAUAGGAUGCCAGAAAUCCAUUAUUUUCCAAAGACUAAUUAAAUUUUUAAGGCCGCCGCGAUGUCGGGUGCGACAGAAUGGUGACUCCACUAGGGACUAAUGGAGUAAGCUUUGCCUUUUGUUUAUCAAUUUCUAUAAUGUUUGUUAUGUUAUGUUUAUUUGUUUAUUUUUCUUGCAUUUACUGCUUUAGCAUGCAUCAUUGUUUAUAUUGUCACGUAACACGUUAAGAGCACACACCUUAAAAUCUAGGAUAGGUGGGAAAGUAACGGUACCCCAAUAGCUUUAGCCUGGGUAAGUGAUGCAGAUCAUCCCAACACCAAGUGUAAUCAUGCCAACAAUCCAUUGGAGGUGCCAAUUGGGCCAAUCACAAGAGCUAGGGCAAAGAAGCUUAAAGAAGCAUUGAAUGAGCUUGUUCAGAACUUAUGGAGCAAGAUGGACCUAGAAGGGCUUGAGACAUUUAAGGAGCAUGAAGGACAACCUUUAAUUCAUCUAGUUCAGGUCCAAGAAGAGCCCAAUUCAUGUGGAACAAGGGGUUGAUAUGUCCGACCCAAUACCAGCCUUGUUAGGCUUGUUUUUUCCUAAUGCUACAAGGACAACAAUUUAUUCUCCUAAUUAAGUAAGGAAGUUGGCCAUAUCUUAUUCCUAAAGAGGGGAGGACUAUUUAAUGCUUUUCCUAACAUAGGAAGGAAAGUAAUUAAAUCAGCAACAAAGGAGGAAAUUUAUCCAAGCUAAUCAAGGACAUCAAAGGAAAGGGGGCAACAACACAAAUUUGAUUCUAGCAUAUUUAGGAUGGUAAUUUUUGGAUUUUUAUUAUUUUCUUCUUAUUUUUUUGGUUAUUAUUACUUAUUUGGGUCAAUUGUAAGUGGGCUGCAUAUAAGUCCACCUAAAGGGGGUCCAUUAGGGUUUCUUUAAGUCUAGAGUCAGUAUAAAUAAAUGCAUAACCAAACAUGUAAGGUUAUGCAAUUUUCAGAUCAAUAACUUCUUUGCUGCACUUAUUGUGUGUUGGUGGGAUAAUCUCCCUUCCUUGGUUCUCUAAAGAACUAAAAAUGACUUAUCGAAGAACUAGCUUUGUGGCGUCAUCCUUAUACUUCUUGUUCGCGAAUCAAUAUUUGUUGGGUGGGGGUCUCCGUUUCCAAUAGUAUUGGUGCCUAGGUACAAGUUAUCUUUGUGUCACACUCCUAUCAAACUUGAUUUACUUGGCUUUUCCAGGAAUUGGUGUCUUUGCGUGUGGGUUGCGUGACCACGUGAUCACGAGGUUCGCAUCAUUUGGUAUCAGAGCUUGGCUCCAUUAAUCAGGUUAUAUCCUUCUGAAAUUUUCGUUUCUUGUUGUUUCCACAAAAAAAAAAAAUUCCUUAGUGUCCAAUUUCUUCUUCUCUUGAUUUGGUAUCAAACAAAAAAAAAAAGUUAUUUUGUUUGACAACAAAAUAUAUCAGUGGCAUAAAAAAAAAAAAAAAAAAAAAUCAUUCAAAAAGGCAUGUUUUUGUUUCUGCCGCAGAAAACUAAACAAAGGAAAUUUGACCAAAUCAACUGAAUGAGCUCAAAUUUGAUUCUUAUUAUGGGACCCUAAUCACAUAUAUUAUUUGGGUCAAUUGGAUAUCGUUCUUUGGGUUUCAAAUUCGGGUCUAAUUAGGUCUGAUUCAUAACGUUUUUGCGUCAGUAUAUCAAACCUUAUCGUAAAUUGCUCAAAUUUCAUAUUCUGUCUAUUUGGGUUGGUAGAACGCUAUAUCUGAAAUUUUUGCUCAAUUGGACAUCAUUGACUUUAGGUUCCAGAUUCAAACUUAACUCAUCGUAAACGAGUCUGUUUUGCGUCAACUUUUGAAAUUCGCUUUCUUUCUAUUGUUUUUGUUUCUUGGAGUUUAUUUUCAUCAUAUCUGGGUGUUGUUUCAUCAUUUUUCAUAUUUUGUUUAUGUUUUUUUUUUUUGAGUCUUCAGUUUUGUUCAUAUUUCGGAUAGACUCGCUUGCUACUCGCUAGACUAUCAUCGCGGUUUUGUUUUGCUUGUUUUCUGGUUUUUAUUGCUUCUUGAGUCAUAUAUAUAUAUAUGGAUUGCGCUGCCAAGUUGGUUUUAUUUGGUGUUGGUUUCAGUUUUGCAAGAACCGUAAGAAGGUAAGACGAGAGGUGUGAGGACAUUAAGAGUGUUUGAGCAAAACACGAGAGACGUGAGGAUAAUUUUUUUUACCACUAACCAAUUUUUGCAGGUAUUAUCAUGUCAGAUCAAAACAACACACCACUCCAUCCCGAGGGAGAACUUACAUUCCAAAUGCAAGCCAUGACGCAGAUGAUGGAAAGGAUGAAUUUUGUGAUGGAAAACAUGUGUGACAGACUUGAUAGGGUGGAGAAACGUGGUAACAAGGUUGGUACAAACACCCAAAAUAUGAGGAAGCUUGGGGUUGAACCGAAAGCAAACAGUGGUAGUAGGGCCGAAAGGCCAAGGUGGGCUGAUUAUGAGGAUUUUGAGGAGGCCGUUGAUGAUAUUGGUGAUGGUGGUUUUGCGAAUGAGGCUAUAGGCCAUCGAGAAGGUUUUCGGCAGCCUAGAAAUCGAAGGGAUUUUGGGAAUAGAACUAGAGGCCAAUUCGGCCAAAGGGAAAAUUUCUGUGGUGUUGGGGGACAUGCUGAUUUAGAUGGUGAUUUGGAUGUUAUCAAACUGAAAAUACCUUCUUUUCAAGGUAAAAACGAUCCCAAGGCAUAUUUGGAGUGAGAGAAAAAGGUGGAUUGGAUUUUUGAUUGCCAUAACUAUUCGGAGGCAAAGAAAGUGAAAUUGGCUGUCAUCGAAUUCAUGGAUUAUACACUGAUUUAGUGGGAUCAGAAUGUUAUUAGUAGAAGGAGGAGUGGAGAGAGGCCGGUAGUGUCGUGGAAGGAGAUGAAAGUGUUGAUGAGAAGACGAUUUGUGCCUAACCACUAUUAUAGAGAUUUAUAUCUGAAAUUACAGGGUUUGAAUCAGAGUUCUAGGUCCGUGGAUGAGUAUUUCAAGGAGAUGGAGAUCGCCAUGAUUCGGGCCAAUAUGAUUGAGGAUCGGGAAGCUACUAUGGCUAGAUUUCUAAAUAGGUUGAAUAGGCACAUUGCGAAUGUUGUAGAAUUACAACAUUGUGUGGAAUUGGAGGACAUGGUUCAUAUGACAACAAAGGUGGAGAGGCAAAUAAAGAGAAGGGGCAGUACAAUUUUUCAGACCAUUCGGCUUCAUCUUCCUCAAUAUGGAGGCCAAAUUUGAAGAGAGAAGGGGCUGUCCAACCAAAGCUUUAUGCAAAGGCUGAACCACCUAAAGCCAAAAAGGAUACUCAUAUGAAUGGGAAAGGUAAAUCUAAAUAUCAACCUACUCAUGAUAGAGAUAUUAAAUGCUUUAAGUGUUUAGGGAAGGGGCACAUUGCAUCUCAGUGUCCAAACCGAAGAGUUAUGCUUACAAGAGACAAUGAGGAGGUUGAAUCUGAAAGUGACAAAUCUGAAAGUGAAGAGUUGCCACCUUUGGUGGAUUGUAGUGAUGAGGAGAUUGCAUAUCCUAUUGAGGGAGAGGCCUUGGUUAAAAGGCGUGCACUAAACAUGCAAAUCAAAGAAGAUGAUGUAGAUCAGCAAUGGGAAAAUAUAUUUCACACUCGAUGUCAUAUCCAAAACAAGGUAUGUUGCUAGUGAUACCCUUGUGAAGAAAUUGAAUCUGAGUUGUAUUAAGCAUCCUAGGCCUUAUAGAUUGCAAUGGUUGAAUGAAUGUGGUGAAGUGAGGGCUACUAAGUAGGUUUUGAUUGCAUUUGCUAUUGGGAAGUAUUUUGAUGAGAUUUUGUGUGAUGUAGUCUCAAUGCAUGCUAGUCACUUACUUUUGGAGCGUCCAUGGCAGUUUGAUCGGAAAGCGAUUCAUGAUGGGUUUAUAAAUAGGUUCACUAUUGUAAAGGAUGGUAAAACCAUCACUCUUGUACCUCUUUCUCCAAAACAAGUGUAUGAUGAUCAAAUCAAAUUAAAAAAAGAAUGUGAGGAUGGGAAGAGUGAAAAUUCACGUGAGGACAAUGGUGAGAGAAAACCAUCAGAUUCAGCUAAACCUAAAUCAUUAAUUAAACUGGUUGAGAGUUAGGUAAAACCCGAGGAGUGAAGAAAGUAAGCUUGUGUGAUGAUAGUAGUGUGGAAAAAUUAAAGAAACAACCUAAUUUUUAUGCAAAAGGAUCUCAAAUCAGAUCUGCAUUUUUCACUAAUAAGCCAAUGAUCUUACUUGUGUAUAAGGAGGCUUAUUUUAACACUAACGAUCUUGAUUAUGCUAUUCCUAAUAUGGUUGUUUCUUUGAUGCAGGAGUUUGAUGAUGUUUCCUGAAGACAUCCCUAAUAGAUUACCACCAUUAAGGGGGAUUGAACAUCAAAUUGACCUUGUGCCCGGAGCUUCGAUUCCUAACCGUCCAACCUAUAAAAGCAGCCCCGAGGAGACAAAGGAGCUUCAAAGGCAAGUAGAUGAGUUGCUGAUGAAAGGGUACAUUCAUGAGAGUAUGAGUCCUUGUGCUGUGCCAGUGCUACUUGUGCUUAAAAAGGAUGGAACAUGGAGGAUGUGUGUUGAUUGUCGCGCCAUCAAUAACAUAAUGGUAAGUAUCGACAUCCUAUUCCUAGGCUUGAUGACAUGGUAGAUGAGUUACAUGAAUCAUGUAUUUUCUCUAAGAUUGACCUAAAAAGUGGGUACUGACACGACCAAAAGAUUGAUGUCUUCUCCCAAGUGCAGGAGUGUCAAAGUAAUAAAUAACCCGGCAAAACCGGGGUCGAACCACAGAGAGGUUAAUUGUAUAAAUUAUAAUAAACAAUACAACAACAACAACAAUAAUAACAAUAAUAGUAAUAGUAAUAGUAAUAGUAAUAGUAAUAGUAAUAGUAAUAGUAAUAGUAAGAACAACAACAACAAUAAUAAUACUCAGUACGUGGCGUUGUUAUACCUGAGAAUGAUCUAAAAGAUUGGGUCAUAGGUUUUCAGCCUAUAUAUUGAUUUUAUGAAAAGAUCAAAGAGAUAUAUUAUAUAAUAUAAACAUAUUUCUAAUACGAAUGAACAAGACAAGACCAACAAUGUCAGGAUCCUUGAUCAAACACAUAGCAUACUUAACGUACAUAAAAUAUAACAAGAAUGUAAAUAAUAAUUAAAAAAAAAAGAAGAAGAGGAAGAAAUUAAUGAGAACUUUGAGAUGGAAGAUUAGUAAGGAUUAAACAAUGAUAAAAACAAAUGUCAAGGUUAGAGGAUCUAUGAAUGUUAUUUCAAACAAGUAUAGUAUAAUUCCUUAUUACUCAACUUGGAAACCACACACGAAAGAGGUUCCAAUCGGAUAAUUUGUCAUUAAUAGCUCAUUAUAAAUUAUUAAUAUGAUCAUAUUAAUUAUCUUAUUUACGUAACACCAAACUUUUAAAUAUUGUCAGAAAUUCAUGAUGCUAACAACAAAUCAAGUUCCUUUCAUAGCACAGGUGUAGGUAAUACCAUACGGUUGGGCUAUGAGAGUGCCAAGCAUUUGUUGUACAAAGUGUUAUACAACACAAAUCUAGAUUAACCAUUUAACAAGCAAGGUAUUAAGAAUUAGUAAGAUAAAAAGAUAAGACAUGUUAAUAUUAAACAUUAAGGUCCAUGUUGAGUUUACACUAUACUUAUUCUUACACCAUUAGUGUAAUCCUUUCAUCUUGACAUAAUAAACUUAGCUAAAAUAAUGAAGAAGAGAAACAUAAAUAAACAAAACAAGAACAUAAAUAAGAUAUAAGUUAACUAAGGAAAUGAAAGGAAAUGAAAAGCAUAAACAAGAUACUAAUGAAAACAAAACUUAAAAAUUACAAAACAAAAAUAUAAAGAGAGAGAGGAAGAGCAAGUUCUUGAUCUGAAGAACCAAGCCCCUUAAUGCAUAGCAAAUGCCUCCUUUUAUAGGCCAAAAUUCGGAAUUAUUGAUUUGAUGACUAAUUGUUGAGUGGGUGACCAACUCUUGACUUGGUGAAAAUCAUUAUCUUCUUGUCUGAAUAAAACGAAAUUGCUAGCAUAAGAACUGGGUCUACUUGAAAACAUGAAAGUUGUAGGAAAUUGUCUUAGCUUUCCAGGAAAAAAAAAUGGAGAUCAUUUGGACUUCUAAAACUCAAGAUAUGGGCUGAACACUGAAUAGUGUCUAGGCUACAGGACAGAUUCGGACUUCUCCAUUGUUGCUAUAAUUUGGACUUGAAAACGGCCUUCUUAGAUCUUGGCCUCCACAUGAAAGUUGUAGGCCUAUGUCUUACUGAAUCUGUGUAAAAAUUUGAGAUCAUUUGACAUCUAGAACUCGAGAUAUGACCCAAUUACCGAACAGUGUUCCAGUUUGGACUGCACCAACAUCUCUUUUCUAAGUUUGGCCCUCUCUUUGUCCUUUCAAUUUCAAUAUUUGAACUCAUCAAUCAAUCCUUUUAUUUAUGUGAUAGGCCUGCAUUUAAGAUGAACAUUUACCAUAUAUUAAGGCAUUUUAUAGUAUCAGACUUGUUAUUAUAAAACAUGCUUUAGUUAAGGAGUUAUUGAUACUUCAAGUGAAAAAUGAUGAUAUAAAACCUUGAUAAAUAUGCACUUUUAAGUACUAAUCAGGUACCAUCAGAUUAGGAUGAAAGAGGGUGAUGAGUGGAAAACUGCAUUUAAGACUAAGCAUGGUUUGUAUGAAUGGUUAGUCAUGCCGUUUGGACUUACGAACACGCCUAACACGUUUAUGUGUUUAAUGAAUCAUGUAUUUCAUGUGUUUAUAGGUAAGUUUGUUGUUGUAUAUUUUGAUGACAUUUUGAUCUAUAGAAAGAACUUAAAUGAGCAUCUUGAUCAUUUUCGUAAUGUACUUAAUGUGUUGUGUAGUGAGAAAUUAUAUGCUAAUCUUAAGAAGUGUACCUUCUGUAUGGAAAAAAUUGUGUUUCUUGGCUAUGUCGUAACUGCACAGGGUAUCGAGAUGGACAAGGAGAAAGUUAAGGCCAUCUGGGAUUGGCCUACACCAAAAUCGGUAAGUGAGGUAAGGAGUUUUCAUGGACUUGCUAGUUUUUAUAGAAGGUUUGUGAAGGAUUUUAGUACUAUUGCUGCACCUUUAACUGAAAUUGUUAAAAAGUCUGUUGGAUUCAAAUGGAAUGAUGAACAGGAUAAGGCUUUUAAUUUGUUGAAAGAUGAACUUUGUUCGGCACCUGUUUUAGCUUUGCCAGACUUUACGAAAGCUUUUGAAGUUGAAUGUGAUGCGUCAGGUAUUGGUAUAGGAGCUGUGUUAAUGCAGGAUAAAAGGCCCAUUGCGUAUUUCAGCGAAAAACUUAAUGGGGCAGCUUUGAAUUACCCUACAUAUGACAAGGAGCUCUAUGCCUUGGUAAGAACUCUAGAGACGUGGCAGCAUUACCUGUGGCCCAAGGAGUUUGUGAUACAUUCUGAUCAUGAAUCAUUGAAGCACUUGAAAGGGCAAGGUAAGUUGAGUAGGAGACAUGCCAAAUGGGUGGAAUUUAUUGAAACCUUUCCGUAUGUGAUCAAGUAUAAGCAAGGAAAAGAAAACAUUGUGGCUGAUGCACUUUCGCGCAGGUAUGUUCUUUUAUCUACUUUGGAUGCUAGAUUUCUAGGAUUUGAAUACACAAAAGAAUUGUACAAGGAUGAUAGUGAUUUUGCUAAUGUUUACAAUGCUUGCGAAACUUCGGCUUUUGGGAAGUUUUAUAGACUUGAUGGAUAUUUGUUUAAAGAGAGUCGAUUGUGUGUUCCAUUAAGUUCUAUGCGUGAAUUGCUUGUACGUGAAGCACAUGGGGGUGGGUUGAUGGGGCAUUUUGGUGUUGUUAAGAUUUUGGAUGUGUUGCAUGAGCAUUUUUAUUGGCCUAAAAUGAAAAAAAGAUGUGCAACACAUAUGUGAUAAAUGCAUAACUUGUAGGAAAGCAAAGUCUAGGACUCAACCACAUGGCUUGUAUACCCCUUUGCUUGUACCUAAGGAACCAUGGGUAGACAUUUCGAUGGAUUUCAUCUUAGGUGUACCUAGGUCAAAACAGGGUAGGGAUUCAAUCUUUGUAGUUGUUGAUAGGUUUUCAAAGAUGACACACUUUAUUCCAUGUCAUAAAACUGAUGAUGCCACUAACAUUGCUGAUUUAUUUUUUAGGGUGAUAGUACGACUUCACGGGGUCCCUAAGAGCAUUGUUUCUUAUAUAGAUGUUAAGUUCCUUAGCUAUUUUUGGAAGCUUUUAUGGGGAAAAUUGGGUACUAAAUUGUUGUUUUCAACAACUUGUCACCCCCAAACAGAUGGAAAAACCGAAGUAGUUAAUAGGACCUUAACACAACUUCUACGUGUUGUCAUUCAAAAGAACUUAAAGAAUUGGGAAGAUUGUUUCCCAUUUAUAGAGUUUGCAUAUAAUCGUAGUGUGCACUCUACUACUGAAUUUCACCAUUUGAAAUUGUAUAUGGAUUUAACCCUUUAACUCCAAUGUAUUUGAUUCCUUUGCCUGUUGAUGAAAGGGUUAGUUUGGAUGGUAAUCGUAAAGCAUAGGUGGUGAAGACACUCCAUGGGAGUGUGCGACAACAGAUUGAAAAGAGGAAUCGUGUGUAUGCGACCAAAACCAAUAAGGGGCACAAACAUGUUGUCUUUCAACCCCGCGAUUGGGUUUGGGUGCAUAUAUGCAAGGAAAGAUUUCUAGCCCAUAGGAAAUCAAAGCUACAACCACGAGGAGAUGGGCCAUUUCAGAUCCUUGAGAGGAUCAAUGACAAUGCUUAUAAAGUUGAUUUGCCAGGUGAGUAUGGUGUUAGUGCUACCUUUAAUGUUUCUAAUCUUACUUUGUUUGAUGUAGGCGAUGAUUCGAGGUCGAAUCCUUUUGAAGAGAGAGGGGAUGAUGCGGAUCAGCCCAACACCAAGCGUAAUCAUGCCAACGAUCCAUUGGAGGUGCCAAUUGGGCCAAUCACAAGAGCUAGGGCAAAGAAGCUUAAAGAAGCAUUGCAUGUGCUUGUUCAGAACUUAUGGAGCAAGAUGAACCUAGAAGGGCUUGGGACAUUUAAGGAGCAUGAAGGACAACCUUUAAUUCAUCUAGUUCAGGUCCAAGAAAAGCCCAAUUCAUGUGGAAUAAGGGGUUGAUAUGUUCGGCCCAAUACUAGCCUUGUUAGGCUUGUUUUGUUUCCCUAAUGCUACAAGGAUAAUAAUUUAUUCUCCUAAUUAAGUAAGGAAGUUGACCAUAUCUUAUUCAUAAAGAGAGGAGGACUAUUUAAUGCUUUUCCUAACAUAGGAAUGAAAGUAAUUAAAUCAGCAACAAAGAAGGAAAUUUAUCCAAGCUAAUCAAGGACAUCAAAGGAAAGGGGGCAGCAACACAAAUUUGAUUCUAGCAUAUUUAGGAUGGUAAUUUUCGGAUUUUUAUUAUUUUUAUUAUUUUCUUCUUAGUUUUUUUUUUGGUUAUUAUUACUUAUUUGGGUCAAUUGUAAGUGAGCUUCAUAUAAGUCCACCUAAAGGGGGUCCAUUAGGGUUUCUUUAAGUCUAGAGUCAGUAUAAAUAAAGGCAUAACCAAACAUGUAAGGUUAUGCAAUUUUCAAAUCAAUAACUUCUUUGUUGCACUUGUUGUGUGUUGGUGGGAUAAUCUCCCUUCCUUGGUUCUCUAAAGAACUGAAAACAACUUAUCAAAGAACAACUGGCUUCGUGCCGUCAUCCUUAUACUUCUCGUUCACGAAUCAAUAUUCGUUGGGUGGGGGUCUCCAUUUCCAAUAGUGCUGGUGCCUAGGUACAAGUUAUCUUUGUGUCACACUCCUAUCAAACUUGAUUUACUUGGCUUUUUCAGGAAUUGGUGUCUUUGCAUGUGGGUUGCGUGACCACGUGAUCACGAGGUUCGCAUCAUUUGGUAUCAGAGCUUGGCUCCAUUAAUCAGGUUAUAUCCUUCUGAAAUUUUCUUUUUUGUUGUUUUCGCAAAAAAAACAUUCCUUAGUGCCCAAUUUCUUCUUCUCUUGAUUUUGCAGCAUAUCAAAACAAAAAAAAAGUUAUUUUGUUUUGUUACAGUCCAAAAUAUAUCAGUAGCAAAAAAAAAAAAAACAAAAAAAAAUAGUUCAAAAAGAUGUUUAUUAGUUUCUGCCGCAGAAAACUUAACAAGGGCAAAUGGGACCAAAUCAACUCGGAAUUGGCUCAAAUUUGAUACACUUAUUACCAGGGCCCUAAUCACAUGAAAUAUUAAGUUUGGGGUCAAUUGGAUAUCGUUCGAUUUGGUUUUCAAUUUCAGGUCUAAUCACGUCUAACUCAUAUUGUUUUUGCGUCAGUAUAUCAAACCUUAUCGUAAAUUGCUCAAAUUUCAUAUUCUGUCUAUUUGGGUUGGUAGAACGCUAUAUCUGAAAUUUUUGCUCAAUUGGACAUCAUUGACUUUAGGUUCCAGAUUCGAACUUAACUCGUCGUAAACGAGUCUAUUUUGCGUCAACUUUUGAAAUUUGCUUUCUUUAUGUUGUUUUUGUUUCUUGGAUUUUUUUUCAUCAUAUCCAACAUAUCUGGGUGUUGUUUCACCAUUUUUCAUAUUUUGUUUCUGUUUUUUUUUUCAAGUCUUCAGUUUCGUUCAUAUUUUGGAUAGACUCGCUUACUACUCGCGAGACUAUCAUCACAGUUUUGUUUUGCUUGUUUUCUGGUUUUUAUUGCUUCUUGAGUCAUAUAUAUAUAUAUAUAUAUAUAUUUUUUUUUUUUUUUGGAUUGCGCUGCCAAGUUGUUUUUAUUUGGUGUUGGUUUCAGUUUCACAAGAACCGUAAGAAAAUAAGACGAGAGGUGUGAGCGUGUGAGGACAUUAAGAGUGUUUGAGCAAAACACGAGCGACUUGAGGAUAAUUUUUUUUACCACUAACCAAUUUUUACAAGUACUAUCAUGUCAGAUCAAAACAACACACCACCCCAUCCUGAGGGAGAACUUACAUUCCAAAUGCAAGCCAUGACGCAGAUGAUGGAGAGGAUGAAUUUUGAUGACAUUUUGAUCCAUAGCAACUUAAAUGAGCAUCUUGAUCAUUUGCGUAAUGUACUUAGUGUGUUGCGUAGUGAGAAAUUAUAUGCUAAUAUUAAGAAGUGUACCUUUUGUAUGGAAAAAAAUGUGUUUCUUGGCUAUGUCGUAACUGCACAGGGUAUCGAGAUGGACAAGGAGAAAGUUAAGGCCAUUUGGGAUUGGCCUACACUAAAAUCGGUAAGUGAGGUAAGGAGUUUUCAUGGAAGAAGGUUUGUGAAGGAUUUUAGUACUAUUGCUACACCUUUAAUUGAAAUUGUUAAAAAGUGUGUUGGAUUCAAAUGGAAUGAUGAACAGGAUAAGGCUUUUAAUUUGUUGAAAGAUGAACUUUGUUCGGCACCUGUUUUAGUUUUGCCAGACUUUACGAGAGCUUUUGAAGUUGAAUGUGAUGCGUCAGGUAUUGGUAUAGGAGCUGUGUUAAUGUAGGAUAAAAGGCCCAUUGCGUAUUUUCAGUGAAAAACUUAAUGGGGUAGCUUUGAAUUACCCUACAUAUGACAAGGAGCUUUAUGCCUUGGUAAGAACUCUAGAGACGUGGCAGCAUUACCUGUGGCCCAAGAAGUUUGUGAUACAUUCUGAUCAUGAAUCAUUGAAGCACUUGAAAGGGCAAGGUAAGUUGAGUAGGAGGCAUGCCAAAUGGGUGGAAUUUAUUGAAACCUUUUCGUAUGUGAUCAAGUAUAAGCAAGGAAAAGAAAACAUUGUGGCUGAUGCAUUUUCGCGAAGGUAUGUUCUUUUAUCUACUUUGGAUGCUAGAUUUCUAGGAUUUGAACACACAAAAGAAUUGUACAAGGAUGAUAGUGAUUUUGCUAAUGUUUACAAGCUUGCGAAACUUCGACUUUUGGGAAGUUUUAUAGACUUGAUGGAUAUUUGUUUAAAGAGAGUCGAUUGUGUGUUUCUUUUAUGUGGUUUGCUAUGUUUUUGAGUUGAUUUUUCCGUUCUUCUCUGUUUUUCUGGGUUGAUUUUUCAGGCCUUGUUCUAGGUUUUUCUUCCCUUUUUAUAGAGACCCAGCUGCUAACCAGUCCUGCCUUUGCAGGACUGUUACCUUCAACGAACGAGAUCGUGGGCGAGAGCCGUGGUAUACGAUUGGAUCAAAUUCGUUGCAGAUUUUCAGCCUGUUGAAUUGGAAUGGAGAAGACGAACACAACUGUUCCACAAGCAACGACGACGUUUUGACAACACUGGAUUCCAGCAGCAACAACAAUGUUCUUUUGACCCCUGAACUUUGGAAUUGUAACCAUUGGAUCUCAAUUAAAUAAAAAUUCCUUUCAAUUUUUCCAUUUGGAUUAAUUUCAAUUGAAUCCCUAAAUUACAACACUAUUUACAAAACAAUUCUUAAUUUCUGGAUUGUUCAAUUUAGUCCUUAAUUAAAUUUUUAAUUUUUAAUUCUUUCAAAAUCAUCCCUGAAAAAUCAGUCAAAAUUCCUAAACUAAACCAACAAUUUCACUAUGGUCCUCGAUCUUUUAAUUUCUUGAAAGUUUGCCACAAAUCUGGUAUUUCUUCAAUCAAACCCCUAAUCUUUUUAAUCAAUUAAAUCAAAACUUAAUUAAAUCCUCAUUAUCAAUUCUUUAAUUAAGCACCUAAUUUAUUAAUUAAACUAAUUCAAAUUUUUUUAAUUAAAGUCUCCAACUUAUUAAUUCUUUAAUUAUUGACCAAUUGACUCUCAAAUUUAAUAAUUACAUCCUCAAACUUCAAACAUUGUGUUGUCUUAACUCCACUCUCAACUAUAUUUUUAUCCAUUCAUUUUGUAUUAUUUGUUCAAAAAUUGGGUUAUGACAAAGAUGAUCUGAACAAAUUCAUUGCCCUAGAGCAAAGGACGAUGGCAUUUGAGGGAAUUCACCUAUAUGAUCCUAUAAUGGCUGCUGAGAUGUGUUUGGUGCCCAACGUUGUCAUUCCCAAAAAAUUUAGAGUGCCGGAAUUUGUUAAAUAUACGGGAACUCAAUGCCCUAUAACUCAUCUCAAAGCAUACUGCAACAAAAUAGCUGAGGUGGUUGAUGAUGAGAAACUGCUGAUUCAUUUCUUUCAAGACAGUUUGAGUAAUGUUGCCCUCACUUGGUAUAUGUAGUUGGACAAUACCAAGGUUAAAAAAUGGAAGGAUUUAGUUGAUGCCUUCAUGAGGCAAUAUAAAUUCAAUAUAGACGUGGACCCUGAUCGGUUAAGCUUGCAAGCUAUGGAGAAGGACAAUAAGGAGUCCAUAAGAGAAUACGCCCGAAGAUGGAGUGAGUUAGUUGCACAAGUUAACCUUCCAUGUUGGAAAAAGAGAUGAUCAAUUUAUUUUCCAACACCUUUAAAGCUCCGUACUUUGAAUAUUUGGUUAGAAGCUAUGCACAACAUUUCACUGACCUGGUUGUUAUAACUGAGAGGAUUGAACAAGCCAUUGGGUUAGGUAAGAUUGCUAACCCAACUGAGAAGAACGGUUUCACUGAAAGUGGUUGCCAAGACACUUAUCGUUCCUAUAGCUAAUUGGUUCACAUCGACUCCUAGAAAUCAACUAUCUUGAAGAUAAAGCUAUGGUGAUAUUAGGAAAGGCCAUCUUUGUUAUUCAUUUCACGUUCUAAAAUAAGUACAUCCCUUGCGAUCCCUUUUUAAGCCUGAAUAAUUUUUCUUUCAUAAAAAAUCCCGACUAUGAUCACACCCCACACUAGGGGCAAGUGAAAUUUCAAUGAUCAGGAAAGAUAAUAAAGCCGUGAGAAAGCCAAAAUGCGAAAGAGCCUAAGAAACUCAAAUGCUAGGGGGAAAGCCCAAAUCACAAAAAAAGUGAUAACCAAGAUAAAGUGAGUAUGCCCUAACAAAGCAAUGAAAAAGAAAAAAAAAGGGCAAAGGAAAAAAAAGCAGCAAAAGAAAAUAUGAAUGACGUCAAGAGUUGCCGAUAGUGAUCUUCAAUCUUUGAAAUCCUGAAACACUCUUUGAGCCUUAUAAAUCAUUUUCUUUCAUAGCAAAAAACCAUAGCCUACAUUACGUGUCUGUAGAAGUCCUUUCUAAUCAAGCAAGCAAGCAACCUAGAAUAAUAAACAAUGCUUUCAAAAUGCAAAGAAUAUUUUUUCAUAAGAUUCAUGACAUCAAGAACAAACUACUCAUUAUUAUUCAUAUUGAUAAAAAUGAGUGUUCAAAAAGAGACAAGUUUUUCUCAAACAAAACCUCGAGCUUUUUCUCGAGCCCUUCACUUUGAAAACCUAUAAAAACAAAAGGUCAUCUCAUGAUUUAUUUUUGCUAAAGACCUCAUUGCCAAACAGAAGAGCAAAUAAUCUUUUUUCCAAGAAAGAAAAUAACCAAAGAGUUGCAAGAUUUCAAAAGCAAAUUGUUUUAGACUCACAUCGAAAUAGUUUUUGCUUUUAAAAUGCAAGAUCAAGAUUUCAAGAUUCAUUCUAAACCCAUAUUUCUUCACCAAACUGAAAAGGAGCAAAAUGAGAGAAUGGCCUUUUAGAACCAUUAUUUGUUUAAGUUACUGACAGAACACACUUGGGGGUAAUGACAAGUAUAAGGUGGCAACAUUGUGUUUAAGGAAAAUCCAUCUCUUCUAGAAAAAGAGAGGAACAUUUCCUUCAAAAAGAUAAGGGGGCAUUUUGGUUUACAAAAGACACCUCGAUCCUUUCAGCUAGUGACACCAAAUAUUUUUAGCAGUGAGACGAGGGGUAAUGAAUGAUCCUCUCAAAUUAUUUGAUGAGUCAGAAAAUCUUUAGUAAGCAAGUGGGUCACGAUGGGCACCACAAAGGCUGAGUUGUGCAAACAAAUCUGGAAAUAGAUUUACAUGAGCUAACUCGAGUGGGCUAGAAGCCAAACGACAAAGAUAACCCAAAUCAGAGAUAGCAAGUCCUCAUCAAUCAAGCAACAAGAAGACUAUGAAGAAAUGUGGGGGCCUAUAUUUCAAAUCAGGUAAAGAUGCAUGGCAAAUUUCAUUAGAGAAAAAUUCUAAACGGAAUCCAUCAAGUAAAAGGCCAACUUGAAAUGGCGAACAUUGAAAUUGCUUUUGAAAAAUUUUCACUUUUAAGAAUUUUUCAACCUGGGCAGGAUGCCCAUGAGAAUUAGGCCACCUGAAAAAUCUCUGUAUUUUUCCACAACCUUUCAUUUUCCAUUCCUGAGGUAGUGCAUUUCCUAUCCUGCCUCCUUUUGAGUGCGCCUUCGAGCCCUCACCUUAUUUCUUUUCGAGUGCACCUUCGAGCCCUCGACCAUCAAAGGUAGUGUGUUUCCUAUCCUACCUUUUUUAGUGCACCUUCGAGCCCUCACCUUAUUCCUUUUCGAGCGCGCCUUCGAGCCCUUGACUAUCAAAGGUAGUGCGUUUCCUACCCUACCUCCUUUUGAGUGCGCCUUCGAGCCCUCACCUCAUUUCUUUUCGAGCACGCCUUCGAGUCCUCAAUCAUCAAAGGUAGUGCGUUUCCUACCAUACCUCUUUUUGAGUGCGCCUUCGAGCCCUCACCCCAUUUAUUUUGGAGCGCGCCUUCCAGCCCUCGACCAUCAAAGGUAACACAUUUCCUAUCCUACCUCCUUUUGAGUGUGCCUUCGAGCCCUUACCCCAUUCCUUUUUGUGCGCGCCUUCAAGCCCUCAUUUCGUUCAAGCUUCCAUCUUUUAAAUAGUGCGCCUUCGAGCCCCAUCAUGUCAUCUUUUGAAAAAUCUUCAUAUUUUUCCACUGGGCAGAUAACCCAUUACAAUGUGACCAUCUGGGGUGGUAACCCAUUACAAUGUAUCAUCCUAAAAAAUCCUCGUAUUGUUUCACUGGGCAGGUAACCCAUUACAAUGUGACCAUUUGGCCAUUACAAUGUGACCAUCUGGGCUAGUAACCCAUUACAAUGUACCAUCCUAAAAAAUCCUCAUAUUUUUUCACUGGGCAGGUAACCCAUUACAAUGUACCAUCCUGAAAAAUCCUCGUAUUUUUUCACUGGGCAGGUAACUCAUUACAAUGUGACUAUCUGGCCAUUACAAUGUGACCAUCUGGGCUGGUAACCCAUUACAAUGUACCAUCCUUAAAAAUCCUCAUAUUUUUCCACUAGGCAUGUAACCCAUUACAAUGUGACCAUCUAGGCUGGUAACCCAUUACAAUGUGACCAUCUAGGCUAGGAACCCAUUACAAUGUACCAUCUUGAAAAAAUCCUCAUAUUUUUUCCACUAGGCAGGUAACCCAUUACAAUGCGACCAUCUAGGCAGGUAACCCAUUACAAUGUGACCAUCCUGAAAAAUCCUCGUAUUUUUCAAUCAUCAGACAGAUCGCCUAGUACAAUUAAACGACUCGUAAAAUUCUUUGCGUUUCUUUUAUCAUCGGGCAGAUUGCCCAAAAAAAAUAAAAUUGAUCCAUUUCAAAACAAAAAAAAAAUGGGUCGUCUCCCAAAUGACUUGUUUCUUGAUUUCUACAUCUCUUUGUAAAGGUCAUGUGUCAAUCUACUGUUUUCAAAGUUUUCAAGACUAAAAAAAAGAAGAAGUAAAAGUUCUUUUUGUAUCUAUGUUUCUUUAUAAAUUUACUACACAAAGCUAAAAGAAAAUGAAAUUUUCUAAUAUCUUUGCUUAGUAAAUAUUAUAAAGAGGGGGAAACUGUCAUAACCUAAUUUUUUAAUAAAUAAUACAAAAAUGAAUGGAUAAAAAUAUAUUUGAGAAUGGGGUUAAAACAAAACAAAUUCAAAGUUCAUGGAUGAAAUUAUCAAAUUUGAGAGUAAAUUGGUCAAAAAUUGAAGAAUUAAUAAGUUUAAAAAUUUAGUUAAAUUUUGGAUUAUGGGUGCGACACAAUGAAUGAACAUAUAUGAACAUAAAUUAAAGCAUGUAAAAUAAAUAAAUAAAUAAAAUAAACUUAUUAACAGAAAACACGCAAACAAAAAAAAACAGAAUUAUCAGACAAAAACAAAGUUUAGUCCACAAGGUCCCUAGUGGAGUCGUCAUUCUAUCGCACGUGUGUGGCAUCGCGGCGAAAACAUCCACCCUCAAAUUUGUUAUUAUCUAAAAAUAUGUGGAAAAAUAGAAUGGGAGUCACCACCUAGUAGGGGUGAGCAUUUUCGGUUCGGUUCGGUUUUGAACUGAAAAAAACAACCAAACCGGUUCUUUUUUUUUAAAAAAAAAACCAAAACCGAACCGAAACCGAGUCAAACCGACCGGUUUCGGUCCGGUCCGGUUCGGUUCUUGAUUUCAAAAAACCGAGAAAACCUAUUGUUUUCCCUGCAUUGUGCAAACGAAUUAAAAGUAAGUUAUUUCCCAAAAAUCAACACCACUUAUUUCAUCCCAAAUCCAAAACUCUGCUAUAAAUCAAAACCCAAAAUUUCUUGCAAAAUAAACAUUGUUUUUCCUAUAUUUUUCAAAUACCCAAAUGCCAAAAAUCCAAACCCGAUUUUUUAAAAUCAAAACCCCAAAUCUUCUUAUACAAAUAAAUCUUGAUCUUUUUUUUUUUUGAUCCAUCACCAGAUAAUUUGUCUUGCAUUUCCAAAGAAUAAUAAUAGUAAGUUUCCGCUAACAUGUUAAUAGUUCUUACCAAUGGGUGAACAACUACCCAAAAUAAUGCCUCUCCCAGUAUGACACUGGACAUCGUGUUCCUAUUUUAUACAAGCUUCUACCAGGAACUUGCUGAUGUAAAGAGGGAGAGGGAGAAGGUGAGGGGAGAGGGGGCUGCUGGGAGGGAGAGGGAGAGAAAGAGGGAGAGGGAGAAGGGGAGGGGAGGGGAGAGGGAGAGAAAGAGUGAGAGGGGUUGCGGCUAGGGUUAAGAGGGGGGGAUAAUUUUUUUAUUUAUAGUGCCUUUUUUGAACCGGUUCGGUUCGGUCCGGGUUAACCGGUUCAUGCAUUACAAAACCGAAAACCGAACCGAACCGGGAUUUUUCCUAACUAUUAUAAUCGGUUUAAUCGGUUUUUUUUUUCGGUUCGGUUUUUUCGGUUAAUUUUUUCUCGGUUUUCUCGGUUUUUUUGCACACCCCUACCACCUAGUAUUUUGGUCACUAGGAACCCUAAUUGGUUUCAAAGAUCGAGUAUAGGAACUGGUUGCGUAAAGGGAAGAUAUUAGCACCCAAAAUACGCCCUACCUAAGGUAGCCUGCAUUGUUUAAUUGUGUGAUAAAUCUAAAGUCUUGUCGUGUUUUCUAGUUAUUGGUCCGUCUAUGGUUUAAGAAAAGUCCUCCUCGGUAAGAAGACUUUUAUCUUAUCGAGUAAUUCUGGCGUCAACAAAAGAAAUUUAAUAUCUGAAAUACGUCUUACGUAUAAGGUCGUAACCCCAGUUAUUAAAAGAAAACAAAAUAAUUUUUUUUGAAAAUUUUGAAAUAUUGACCUAGUUCUCGUGACUUUAAUAAACUGGUUAUCAAAGCCAAAAUACAUGCUAAAUUUUUUUUUAUUAUAUAUAUACACACACAAUAUGAUUUAUUUUUGAGAGACUUGGCCCUAUGCGUGAAAACAAAAUGUUUUUUUUUUUAUUUUUAUGUUUUGACGAAAACUAAGUACUUUAAUACCAGAUUUGCAUCUUUACAAUAUAAAAAUACAAACCAAAUACUAAGCAAAAUUUAGUAGGAAAAUAUGUGGGAAAGUUAGAUUUUUUUGAAAUAAAAUUUGAAGCAAAUUUCACUUUUUUUUAAUUUUUAUUUUAUUUUAUUUUUUUAAUAGGCUAGACCCAGCCCAAAAAAAAAAAACAAAUUGGGCCGAGAUCAACCCAAUAAAAUGCAAACUAUCUCCUAUGGGGCUGGACUCAGCCCGACCUUAUAGGUGGGCUGAAAUCCUACCCGGGCUGGUUACUGUUCCCAUAUACAAUAACCAGCCCAAAUACAAUUACCCUAACCAGCUCAAAUACAAUUACCCGGUUACUGUGCUCAUGCACAAUAAUAGGGUAAUUAUAUGUUCAUUUUGCUUGCAGAAACAUUCUGCAUGCGAAGACGAUGAACAAGAAAUAAAAACAAGGAUAAGAGAAACUACCGGGAAUGAAGGGGGUUUUGUUCAGUGUUCUGGUGGCUCCCAGUGGCAUUGGUGUCGCCGCAACCGGCUGUGGUGGCGAACGUUGGUCCUCCAUCUUUUUUACUCUGCUUUAGUGUGCUAUUCUUCUUCCCCUGUUUUUUUCAUUCUCCCUAUAAACAACACUCUUGCCUCUCUGCAGGGACUUCAUGGCGGUGCGACUGGUGCUAGGGGUGGUGAUAGAGAAUGGCGGUGGCUGCUGGAUGAAGAAGAUGAGCUGAUGGUGGCGUGGGCAAUGCUGGUGCGACUCUCCCUCUAUCAUUCCCCUCUGGUUUUCCCUCUCCCUCUGUUUUUCCCUUCCUCUCUUGUUACUUUUCCUUCUUUGUUCUAUUCUUUCUCUCCUUGAUGUGUCGUCUUUUUCCACCACGGUCACUCUCUCUGUUUUCCUUUCCUUUCCCUUCUAUCCCCUCUCUCUCUUUUUUUCUUUUCUUUUCUUUCCUAUGUCUCGUUCCCCCUCUGAUUCCCCCCCCCUCUUCUUCACUCUCUCCCCAUAACAUUUUUGCCACCUUUUUUUUUCUUUUUCUCCUCUCUAUCUUCUCUCUGUUUUUAUCACAUUUGCCCCUAUUUUUUCAUCAUCUUUCUCUGGCUUUUAUAAGCCAAAGAAUUCCCUGCAGUACAACGUUUGGCUUGGUAACGACAUGUAGGGGAAUAGUAGCCGUGAAACAUUCCCUAUAAUUGAAGCAAUCUGCUCUUUUUGUUGCUGAAAUGGCUCCACUGUCUAUUGAAACGGCUGUGAAGAAAGGUGAUGAAAUAGUGCUCUAAAACGGCGUCGUCUUCCUAUCAAAAAUUGAUAUUUUUGAUUUGGUCCUUGGCUAUUUUGAUAAUUUUUUAAUCAAGCCCCCCGGAUGAAUUGUAAUUGGAUCUCUUGAUUUUAGCACCUUUUUUGGUUUAGUCCUUGGUUUCGGAUUGUUUCAAUUAAGUCCCUAAUUUUGCCAUCAAACUUCAAUAAUUAUGCAAUUAAGCCCCUGAUUUGACCAAAUCAACUCUUUAAAAUUAUAAUUGGACCGCAUAACUUUAAUUUCUUCCAAUAAAAGCCUAAAUUGACUUAAAAAUCAAUUUUUCUUGCAAUCAAACCCUCCAUAAAUUCAAUUAAACCUUAGAUAAAAUUUAAUUGUGUCUAUAAACAUCUGAUUUUGAAUAUAUGUUUUUCAAAAUUGAAUUGUCUUUGUCAACAGGACCCUCAUCAGCUAAUGAUAAACUGUCAAAUUUCAACCUUUUGCAUUUUUAAACCUCCUCAAUCAAUUUUUGGCUAUUUUUCAGCAUUCCAACAUCCUUUUCUCGCUCCUAUUAUUUUUUGGAUUACUUUCGAAUAUCUUUUGAUAUAUAUUUGUUUGUAUUUUUUUAUUUUUGUGUGGGAACCCGGAAAUAGAUAACAAUAGUUACUGUCAAAUUUUGAAUUGUUACUAUCUAAUUUUCAACUGUUACUGUCCAACUAUUACUGUCUAAUUUUCAACUGUUAUUUGCAUCAAAGAUAGUCAAAAUUGCUCAUUAACUAAUUAGUCCUACUGCCGUACAUAAUCAGUCACGACUCAGUCUUAGUUGGUAACCCAUAACUAGAGUUCUACAUCUCCAAAUUGAGCAAGACCAGUUUCCUUGGUUGGCUAACAUUCAAAUCUACAAUUUGUAUGAGAAACCAAAUCCUAAUCCCCUAAUCCCCUAAUCCCCUAAUCCUCCUACCUGAAAUCUCAUCGAAAGUUAGGAGACAAGUCUGCCCAGAUUCGUCUCCCUCUCCCCUUCACACAAUACUUUCAUAAACUACAUACCACACACAUGAAUGAACUUAAUCUCAACAAUAAGUACUUUUUCCCCAAUUUAUGUCUAAGAACCCUAACCUAUGAUUCAAUAUCAAGGCAUCAAUUCUUUAUCGAAUUAAAAAAUGAAUUUUUUUAAGAUCAUGUUUAAAAUACCUUUCCCGGUACAAAUUAAGAUUUUAAUCUUCAACCAGUUGAAGAUUUUCAACUCACUCAUUUCUUUUUUUCUUGUUCAAUUUCUCAGAAAUCCUUUGCUAUUAAGUGUUUAUCCCAUCUAUAAGCUCUUAUUGCCCGUUUGGCACGGCGGUCCAACCUGCUUUUUGAAAAAUUUCAAUUUUUUUUUUUGCUAAAAUUGAGUGCGGUUUGUACUUUCUAGAUCGUUUUGAUGUGCUGAUAUCAAAAAUGAUUUUUAAAAAAUGAAAAAACAUUAUUGGCAUGCUUUUCGGCAUGAAAAGCUAUUUAAAGAGCAACCGCUACCACACUCCCAAACACCCUUUAAUCUUGGAUGGGUUCUUAAAAUUUUAGUAUUUCACUCUUGAUUUCUCAAGAAUGGGUAUAAAACUCCCUAUCUUCUAUCCUUAUGGUUACUAUAGAUUUUUUUUGGUGAGCAGAGAGUAUUUAUACCCUAUAUUUUCCUUUAUUUGCAUUUAGGCCCCCGUUUUCCUUUAGGUGUAUUAUUCGCUACAAUUAAAUCCAACCCUUAACAGUACCGAGUUUAUUAUAAUGUCUCGAAUUAUUUCACCCCGAAAUUUAUAUUAAAUGUUUUUUGAAUUUUUGUUUUUAUUUAACAAUAUGCAUGAAUUUCUUCACUUUUACUUAUUUAUUAUAUAUAUAAUUUUUUUCCCGGGGUUUACAGUUAAGGUAAUUACAUUACCUUCGCACAAUGUUCUUGUAACAAUUCCAUUUGAAAUGAAGAUGCAAAAUGGGAUGAAGAAACAGGUGUACUUGCUUCUAGAGACCAAAGAUGCUUGCAGCGCGGUGGUGCCUCUCGUUUGCAUAUGACCUUUCCUUCUGCUUCCUUUUGCUUCUGUGUCACCACAUGCUUUAGUCUUCCAGCAGCUCUUGAGAUCGAUGAUGAAGGUGCCAGCUUUCUAUGAUGUUAGGGUUCUUUAUUUUUUUGCAGGGAUGCCUUCAACGAUGAAGGCAAUGGCAGAGCCAAUACUCGUUUUGCUCUAUUUUUCUAAGUUUUUUUCUCCUCUUUUUCUCCGUCUUCGUCUAUGUGUUUGUGCUUUUCUUUUCUCUCCUUCUCUCUGUGUAUUUUUUUUCUCUGUAUUUCUGAGUUCUUUUCCUCUGUUUUCUUCCCCCUGCUUCUCUUGCUCGUCCUCCUUUUUCCGAGGCCUUUCUCUAGCUUUUAUAAAGCCAGAGAAAGUCUAGUGUCCCUGCCUCCAAAAAUGGUGAGGAUCGUGGAGACGAGAGAUCAUGGCCGCAUCGUAGGUCUAGUGGCCGUGAUCUGCUAGAUUUUCCCCUCUUGAACCGGUCUUCAACGAACAGAUGAUGAACACUAGGAUCCAAAACGGCAUCAUUUGGCAUGGAAAAUGAAAAAUUAUAGUUUGGUCCCUGAUGUUUUGAAAUGUAUCAAUUGGGUCCCUUAAUAAAUUAAUUUUAAUUUUACCCCUUGGAUUAAUUUCAAUUAAAUCCCUGAGUUUAUUUAAUUAAUUAAAUCAAAAUUUAAUUAAGUCCGCAAACUUAUUAAUUCUUCUAAUUUCAUUAAUUAAACUAAUCCAAAUUUUAAUUAAAUUUCCAAACUUAUUAAUUGAAUUUGUGUUGUUUUAACUCCAUUCUCAAAUAUAAUUUUAUCCAUUUAUUUUUUUAUUAUUUAUUCAAAAAUUGAGUUAUGACAGUUGCUCCAUCUUUAUAAUAUUUACGAUGCAAAGUCAUUGGAAAAUUUUGUUUUCAUUUGGCUUUGCGUGGUAAAUUUAUAAAGAAAAGUAGACAUAAAAAGAACUUUUGCUUUUGUGAGAGUCCUGAAAACUUCAAAAAUAGUAGAUUGACAAAUGACCUUAGGACGGGGGCUUGAAAGGUGCACUUGAAAGGUGGUGAGGGCUCGAAGGCGCACUCAAAAGGAAGUAGGGUUAGGAAACACACUACCUUUAACGGUCGAGGGCUUGAAGGUGCACUCAAAGAAGGUGAAGGCUCGAGGGCGCACUUAAAAUGAAGUAGGGUUAGGAAAUACACUACCUUUUAAUGGUCGAGGGCUCGAAGGUGCACUCGAAGGGAAAUGAGGGCUCGAAGGCACACAUCAAGGGAAAUGAGAGCUCGAAGGCGCACUCAAAAGGAGGUAUGGUUAGAAAACACAUUACCUUUAAUGGUCGAGGGAUCAAAGACGCACUCAAAAGAGGUGAGGGCUUAAAGGCACACUCAAAAAAAGAAAAGAAAAUGAGCGCUUGAAAGCGCACUCAAAAGGAGGUAGAGUUAGGAAACGCACUACCUUUAAUGGUCAAGGGUUCGAAGGCGCACUCAAAAGGAGGUAGGGUUAGGAAACACAUUACCUUUAAUGGUCUUGGGCUCGAAGGCGCACUUGAAGGAGGCGGGGGCUCGAAGGCGCACUCAAAAGGAGGUUGGGUUAGGAAACGCACUACCUUUAAUGGUCUAAGGCUUGAAGGCGCACUUGAAGGAGGUGAGGGCUCAAAAGCGCACUCAAAAAAGAAAUUGAGGGCUCAAAAGCGCACUCAAAAGGAGGUAGGGUUAGGCAACACGCUACCUUUGAUGGUCGAGGGCUCGAAGGCGCCUUCAAAAGGAGGUAGGGUUAGGAAACACACUAUCUUUAAUGGUUUAGGGCUCAAAGGCACACUAGAAGAAGGUAAGGGCUCGAAGGUGCACUAAAAAAAAUAAAAUAAGGGCUCAAAGGUGCACUUAAAAGGAGGUAGGGUUAGGAAACACACUACCUUUAAUGGUUAAGGGCUUAGAGGCGCACUCGAAAAGAAUUGAGAUGAGGGCUCGAAGGCGCACUCAAAAGGAGGUAGGGUUAGGAAACACACUACCUUUAAUGGUCGAGGGCUUGAAGGCGUACCCGAAGGAGGUUAGGGCUCAAAGACACUCAAAAUAAAAAUAAAAUAGAGGGCUCGAAGGCGCACUCAAAAGGAGGUAGGGUUAUGAAACGCACUACCUUUAAUGGUCGAGGACUUAAAGGUGCACUAAAAAAGAAAUGAGGGCUUGAAGGUGCACUUAAAAAGAGGUUUUUCAAUUCUUGGCCAUUUCAGGGUAGCAUUCUUUUUUAUGGAUCCCAUCAAGAAUUUCUCUUAAUGAAUCCAUGCAAAACACAGUGUUCAAUGUUUCAGAGUUAUAUGAUAUGCAUGCAUCUCUAUCUGAUUUGAAAUAUAGGCCCCCAUUUCUUCUUAAUCUUUCGUUGCUUUAUUGGUGAGGUUUUGCUAUCUGAUUUGAGUCAUCUUUGUCGCUUGACUUCUAGCCUACUUGAGUUAACUUUUGUAGGUCAUUUCUAGAAUAUUUGCAAUUUUACACAGCUCAUCCUUUAACUUUUAUAGGUCCUUUCCAGAAUAUUUGCAAUUUUACACAGCUCAUCCUUUAUGGUGCCUAUAAUGACCCAUUUACUUGUUGGAAAUUCUUUGUCUUGUUGACCAAUUUGAGAUGAUCAUUCAUUAAUUCCUUGUCUCACUCCAGCAACAUUCAGUGUCACUUAUUGAAAAAAUUAAGAUUCAUUUUGUAAACAAAAAUGCCCCCUUGUCUCAUUGUAUGAAAAUUUCCUUCCUCUUUUCCUAUUACCUGAAAGGAUCAAAUCCCCUUUUAAAGCACAAUAUUGCCCCUUUUGUACAAGUUAUUUUCCCAAAGUGUGCUCCAUUAGUGACUCAGACAAAUGAUGGUUUUGAGUACCCCUUCACUCCUCUUUUUUUUUUUUUUUGGUGAAAGAAUCUUUUUCUAUAAUGAAUCUUGAAAUCUUGAUCUUGCAUUUUGACAAUAAAAAUUAUUUUGAUGUGAGUUAAAAACAAUUUGCUUUUGAAAUCUUGCAACUCCUUGGUUAUUUUCUUAGAAAGGAAAUAAUUUGUUCUUGUGCUGGCGAGGUUGUCAUCGAUGAAGGUACAUCAUGAGGUGACCUUCUAUUUUUGUAGGUUUCUAAGUGAAAAGCUCAAGAAAAAGCUCGAGGUUUUGUUUGAGAAAAAUUUCUCUUUUUGAACAUUUAUUUUAUCAGCAUGAAUAAUAAUGCGUAGUUUGUUCUUGAUAUCAAGACUUCUAUAUAAAAAAAGUAUUCUUUGCAUUUUGAGAGCACCGUUUAUUGUUUCAAGUCGCUUGCUUGCUUGAUUGGAAAGGACUUCUAUAGGCAUAUAACGUAGGUUGUGGUUCUUGGCUAUGAAAGAAAUGGAUUCAUAAGGCUUAAAUAGUGUUUCAAGGUUUCAAAAACUGAGGAUUACUAUCAGCAAUUCGACUCUUUAUGUCUUUCAUCUUUUCUUUUGCCUCUUUUUUUUUAUUUUCCCUUUUUCAUUGUUUUGGCUGGGACAUAUUCACUUUGUUUUGGCUAUCACUUUUUCUUAUGAUUUGGGCAUGCCCCUAGCAUUUGAGUUUCUUGGGCUCUUUUACCUUUUGCCUUUCUCACGACUUUAUCAUCUUUCUUGAUCAUUGAAAUUUCACUUGCCCUAGUGUAGGGUGUGAUCCUAGUCAAGAUUGUUCAUGAAAGAAAAUUUAUUCGGGCUCAAAGAAGGACCAUAAGGGAUAUAUUCAUUUUAGAACGUGAAAGGGAUAACAAAGAUGAUAUUUCCUCAUUUCAAGCACAAGCAGUUAAGAUCAAUGAACUUUUAUUUUGUUCAGUGUGAUGGUUUGGACUUUUCAAAGAGAUGCAUUGCAUGAGUUCAUGAACAACGAAUUCACUACGUAUUAUUAUUCAUACAUUUAAAAUACUUGGCUAAAGAGUUAUGGUGUGAGAGUGACGAUUUAUUUUUCUAUUUAUAUUCUCUGGUUUUAGAAUUUGAUCACCUCGAUGAAAGAGUUGUUUGGUUCAUGUUAUUUUUAAAUAAACAUCAAAUUGUUUUUUAAACUAAAAACAAGUUUAAUUUUUCAAAAUUCAUUCUAGCAGAAAAGAUUUUGGUAAAAGAAGUGAAUUGGGUAUAUGAGAUCAUGCAAGGCUGCAAAGGUGUAUUUAUGAGUUCUUAAAGGGAAACUCUCUUAGGAAAAUGAAUAAUGCUUGGUCGUAAACACAAUUGAAGGACAAACACAUUAUUUCAUUGAAACUUUGAAAAAGAGGUUUAACAACAAAAAUCUUAUGCCAAUAUCUUAAGCUAUGAAUACUGGCAUGAUAACACAUAAAGGGGCUAAACAUUUAGCGAUAAUUGAUUAGAAUUUCUAAAAUCUUUCAUUCAUUCAUUCUCCUCGACAAAGGGCAUCUUUUCAACAGUUAGUUGAAGUCAUAUGAGAUUGUUCUCGAGCUACUAUCACCAUAGAUUUAUCUUCAAGAUAGUUGAUUUCUAGGAGUCGGUGUGAAGAAAUUAGCUAUAGGAACGGUAAGUGCCUUGGCAACCACUUUUAGUGUCCUUUCCUUUUUUUAGUGAAAUUGUUCUUCUUAGUUGGGUCUGCAAUCUUACCUAACCCAAUAGCUUGUUCAAUCCUCUCAGUUAUAACAACCAGGUCAAUGAAAUGUUGUGUAGAGCUUCUAACCAAGUAUUCAAAGUACGGAGCUUUAAAGGUGUUGGAAAAUAAACUGAUCAUCUUUUUUUCUAACAUGGGAGGGUUAACUUUAUAGCUACCCAAUUUUUGACCUAUGUUUUGAUAAAUUUUAAAAAAUGAAAAACUAAAAAAAAUGUAAGGGUUUACAUGUGGCGAUAACAUAGAGCAUCAGGGCUAAUAUUAAGGAAGCAAUAUGUCAAGGAGAUAAUUAUUGAAUCAUAUAUAAUUAAUGCAUCAUACAAAUACCAUAUAUAUUAUAUAUAUAUAUAUAUAUAUAUAUAUGAUUUGAUUCGUGCUGGUUAUAGAAAAUAAUCACUGCAAUAUAAAAUACCAUAUAUAUGGGAUUUGUUAGUGAUGGUUAUAGAAGACAAUAUCUGCAAUAAUUAUUGCAAUAUUUCCUUAAAUAAUAUAUGUAGAGAUUUUCUAUAUAAAAUGAAAAUCCAGUCAUAAUAAAAGGGAGGAGAAAAUUGACAAGGGAUUUUACACAAUUUAAGAGAACAACAAAAAACCCUAAACCUGUCCCUUUUGACCUAAGGGCCACCCCCUCCCUCUCUAAAAAAAAAAAGGAGAAACCCUGCUUUAGGAUUUUAAACCAUCGGUUUCUUCUCCUUGUAGCCGAACAAGGCUUCCCUCCACCAGCCGAACAAGGCUUCCCUCCUCUAGAGGACAUUCUCCCUUUCUUCUCCCUCACCAAAUCCCACUCUCUUCCCCAUAUCUAGAAAACACAAGUCGACCCCCCUUGGCCUUCUAUUUUAGGCUCCCAAAACCAGAGAGAACCAAAGCUAGCACAACCAUCCCCAUCGUCUUUUCCCCUCUCUCAGCCCUCAGCUCUUUCCUCCUAGAUCGGUUACCAGCUUGCCAAACACCAGUAGAAUCUACAACCAGUAAACCCAUCAACAACCGACUCUCCUGCGACUCAAACUCGUGUACAAUAUCUAGAUCGAGAUACAGCCACCACCAGUGCCGCCGAUGCCAACCGCAAGAGUUGCCACCAGAAGAAGAAGGAAAGAACAACAAACUAAAAAGAAGAAGAAGAAAGAAGACAGAAUUUAACAAAUCUAAAAAGAAAAAAAAUACAAGAACAAUUUGGACAGAAAUGGAUUAAAAUCAACUUCCUGCAUUUUCUUUUUUUCUUUUUACAGGUCACUGCCAGCGAGGAAGGGAAGAAGGGAUGAAGCCAAGCCAGAUCCACCCCGACCCCUGUUUUUCUUACGGCGGCAGGGCCGCCACUGUUCCUGCAUUCCCAGAAGUGUUCCUCUGCAAUUCCUGAAUAUUUGGGUGUCUAUUUUGCAAUUUUUGAAUUGUAUAUUAUGUGUUUAGAUUUGUUUUGAAUUUAUGUUAUUUGUAAUUACAUAAGAUUGAAUGAGAAAAACAUAAUAAAAAGGGGAUCUGUGUGUGUUUGUAGUUUUGUAUGUAUGUUAUUGAAUUAUAAAAUCCAAGAAAAUAAAAUAAAAAUUUAAUGUUUUAAUUUUGUAUAUGGUCAAGUAUCUGAAGGAAAUAAAAUCAUGUUGUAUUUCUCGUGAAAAUGUAAGAACAUGUUUCUACAUAUAUUCUGGGAUUUAAUAGCUGAUUUAUUAAAGCCUUAAGAAUUGUAUUAAUAUAUGGUUUGUUGAUUUUAAUUGUGAUUAACUGUGAUGUGUGUGUAUUUUGCAAAGAAAAUAUAAAAAAAUGUUUUUAUAUAUUGCAUACGGCCAAUACCCUAACAUGUUUUGAACUUUUUUUAUAUAUAAAAAAUAUUAGAAGUUUUGAAAUUGUGUUUUCGCAAGGAUUUCUUAAACACAAAAAUUAUUUUCUUGCAUUUCUGGAUUUUACAACAAGUUUGUAAAACUCCAAAGGGUGUUGACCAAUAUUCCAAAAAAAUAUAAAAAUCUUAUUUUGGGGAGAAAUCAUCUAUUAUUCACUAUUAAUGUUUGGGUAAAGAAAUCCCAAAUGGAUGAAUAUCCAAAAUAUUAUUGAGGAUAACUUAUUAUUCUUUGUUGUUAAUAUUUGGAUAAAGAAGCCCUCAUUGGGAAAUAUACAAAAUAAUUUUCUAGGAAUAAUAAGUCACGUCACAUUCUUGAAAGAAGCCUUGAUUAUAAUUGAGGACACUUCAAUUCUUUUUUUACUUCAUAGUUUACGAGCUGUGAGAGUAUGAAACACCAAGGCAAAAAUAGGAUUUUAAAGCGCCCUGAAUUUUUUUAGAUUUCUUAAUUUUUGUCCCUCUUCAUUGCGAUUUACGAGUCGCAAACUCUUGAAAUACUAAGGGAAAAAUGAGCUUUUAAAGCACAUGGAAUCUCCUUGGAUUUUUAUCUUAAUAAAUUUAGUUUAAAUCAAACCUAGAAAAAACUGAUGGGAUUAGAAAACAUCAACACCGUAGCAAUUAUAAAGCAAACCAAACACCAAGCAUCUUACUUUAGGUAGGGCGUACUAGGGAUGCUAAUACCUUCCCUUUACGCCACCAGUCCCUUGCCUUAGAAUCUCUGAAAGACCAGUUAGGGUUCCUAGUGACCAAAAUACUAGGUGGCGACUCCAAAGAAUCAAUCAAGCAAAAACAAACAAAAAAUCACCAUCGGACGGCGCACGGGGGAUAUGCAAUAGAAUGACGACUCCACUGGGGAAGCUAGGGCUAAGCUUGGUAAAAAAAAUUUUAUUAUACUAUAUGUUGUUUUUUUUUUUUUAUGAAUGGUUUACUUUGUUUAAAAGCUUUAGCAUGCAUCUUUAUAUUUUGUCAUACAUGGUAUAGUCAUGCAUCACUUUUUUAUUAUUAUCUUUUUGAGGAGGCACACAUUAAACUUUAAGUUAAGUGGGGUACUAGCAACUUGCCUUAUGACUUGAGUCAAGGUUUAAGUUUGUGUAAACCCCAAACUCUAUGUUGAGUGUUUAGACUGAUAUCAAUUGGUACAUGUGCUAUCCCACUAUCUGUUGAGCCCUCAUAUUGCCUUUACAAGGGUGAUCACUAGAACAACAAGAGACCCUCUUUUAAAGACCAAGUAGUAAACCUAUUCAUUGUCUCACAUAAAGGAACUAUAACCUAUCCUUAGGAUGUAUGAUCCAUAAUAUCUUUUUGCAUCCAAACAAGCCUAAGCUCAAAGCAUCUUGAAUCUCAAGACCUUCAUUCAAAAGCUAGCCAAGGGAGAGAUGUUCCAGAAUUGGGAGGCCUGGGAAGCUCCAUUGGUGUUCAAAAUGUAAUCAACAAUGCUUAUUUGAUCAUGAUAAUGUGUUGUUUGCCUCUCUCUUUUUUUUGGCUAAUAAUCAAGGCUCAAGAUGCUAAUUGGAUUUUAUCUCCUUUUUUUUAAGCUAAUCUUUUCCUUUUAAUGAGAUCAUGCAUUUUUCAAAGUUCAUCUUUAUGCAUUUACACAUAACUUUCCACUCUCAGGAACCCUAAAAGUGAAUCUUUCAAAACAAAACCAUUACACCGAGAAUGAAUGGCCAAACUUUAAAGAAUACAUAGUUGUAGAAGAGGAAGAAUGGGAUGAAAAUAACAUUAGGGAAUUCAUAAAAUUAAUAGGACAACAUGAACAAACUUGGAAACCCGCUAGAGAGGAACUUGUAACCAUAGAUGUGGGAAAUGAAAAAUUAAGAGAAAAGGUGAGGAUAAGGAUUGUGAUCACUCAUAAAUUAAAAGAAGAGUUGAUUGCAUUACUCCGAGAUUAUAUAGAUAUCUUGUCUGGUCCCUUAAAGAUAUGCCUGGCGUAUAGGGUACCACUAGUAGAAUGAUGCAAAUCGGUUAAGCAAAGGUUGAGAAGGACCAAUCUAAAUGUCUUAAUCAAGGUAAAGACAAACUGAAAAUAAGUGGAAUGCUAGUUUUCUAGAAAUAGUCAAAUAUCCGCAAUGUGUGUCCAACAUAGUUAUAGUACCUAAAAAGGAAGAUAAAAUCAGAGUUUGUGUGGAUUUUAGGGACUUAAACUGGACUAGCUCUAAAGACAAUUUUCCUCUAUCACAUAUAGAUAUUUUGAUUGAUAAUGCAGCUCGUAGCCCCAUAUAUUCAUUUAUGGAUGGGUUUUAGGCUACAAUAAGAUAAAAAUGGCACAAGAGGAUAAGGAGUAGAAACCUUUAUAAACAAUAUCGGGAACCUUUUGCUACAAAGUCAUUCCAUUUGGGUUAAAGAAUGUUAGGGCCACCUACCAUAGGGCCAUGUUGAUUUUAUUUCACGACAUGAUACACAAAGAGAUUGAAGUAUACAUGGAUGACAUGAUUGCUAAAUCUAGAGAUGGAGAGAAUCAUGUCCAAAUAUUGAAGGAAUUAUUUGAAAGACAAGUUGAGGCUUAACCAUGCAAGGUGUUCAUUUAGGGUGAAAUCUAGGAAGUUGUUGGGAUUUAUGAUGAGUAACAAAGGGAUAGAAGUGAACCUUGGUUAAGUAAAGACUAUUCAAUCUAUGCCAAUUUCCAAGACUGAGAAGGAUGUAAGACAGUUCUUGGGAAGGUUAAAUUACAUUGCUCAGUUUAUAUCUCAAUUAACCACGACUUGUGACUUAGUUUUAAAUUGUUAAGGAAGAAGAAUCUCAGAAUUUGGAAUAAGAAUGUGAAGAAGCUUUUGAGAAAAUAAAGUAAUACCUACUGAAUCCACCCCUAUCUAUCAAGCAGAAUUGUAAAAUGGCAAGUUCUACUGGCUGAGUACGACAUAGUAUAUAUGACAAGGAAAGCUAUGAAAGGGAGUGUUAUUGCCGAUCACCUGGCCAACCAUGCUAGGGAAGAUUAUGCGUCAUUAAAAUUUGAAUUUCCUAAUGAAGAUUUGCUUACAGUUGAGGAAGGGAAAUUAGAUUGGUGGACUAUGUACUUUGAUGGUGAUGUAAACGUAUGUGGUAACAAAGCUGUUGCAAUGAUAAUCUUUUCUAAUAAAAAGUAGUAUUCUAUUUUUAGUUAAGUUGCAGUUUGGGUGCAAUAACAACAUAGGAGUAUGAAGCUUGCAUUCUCGAUUUAGAAGGGGUAUUGGAGCUAAAUAUUAGAAAGAUACAUAUGUAUGGAGACUCAAUUUUGAUUAUUCUGUCAAGUGAAAGGAAAAUGGCAAACCAAUUAUGAGAAGUUGAGACCUUACCAAGAAUACCUAUCUAAAUUAGCUAGAGAAUUUGAGGAAAUAAAUUUCACCCAUCUAGGAAAGGAAGGAAAUCAUUUUUCUAACGCUUUGGUCACACUAGCUUCUAUGGCUAUAAUAGAUUUUGGGCACAAGGUAUAGUCGGUACACAUUGAAAUCAGAAAUAACCUAGCUCAUUAUUGCUUAGUUGAAAGAGAAAAUAGAUGGAAAUCGUUGGUACUAUGAUAUCAAGAAUUACAUCCAAAACAAGACAUAUCCCAUGGGGGCAUCCAAAAUCGAUAACAAGAUUUUGAGGAGUUUGGCAAUGGAUUUCUAUCUUGAUCGGGAAACUUUGUAUAAGAAAUCAUCUGACGAAACUUUGUUGAGAUGUUUGGAUGAUGUGGAGGCAAAAAAAAAUGGUGAAUAAAUUUAUGGAAAGAGAUUUGAUUUGUCGAUAUGAUCCACUAGAAAAAAUUAAUAAUGCCAGAACUUUAAUAGUUAGAUGAUAAUAGAACUCUACGCUAAAUGGAAAAAUCAAGUAUUCUAAUUCCUCAUCAUACAGUCCAAAGAUGAAUAGUGUGGUAGAAGUUGCUAACAAAAAUGUCAAAAAGAUUAUUUAGAAGAUGGUAGUCACUUACAAGGAUUGGUAUGAGAUGUUGUCAUUUUCCCUUCACGCGUAUCGUACUGCAAUCCGAACCUCAAUAGGAGUCACCCCAUAUAUGUUGUUAUACGGAAUGAAGGUGGUGAUACCUUUAGAAGUUGAAAUCCCCUCAUUAAGAGUAUUGAUAGACUCCGAGCUAGAAGAGGUAGAGUGAGUAAAAGUUAGAUAUGAAUAGUUGAAUCUGAUAAGUGAAAAAAGAAUAGUUGCAAUCUGUCAUCAUCAACUAUACCAAAGAAGAAUGGAUAAAUCAUAUGAUAAGAAGGUUCGACCUCGAGGAUUCCACGAGGAAGAUCUUGUACUAAAGAAAAUAUUGCUUUUACUAGAAGAAGAUUAGAGUAAAUGGGCACGAAACAAUGAGGGCCCUAACAUGGUAAAGAAAGCAUUCUCGAAAAGAGCUUUAUUGUUAUCUAAAAUGGAUGGAGAAGAUCUAGUUAGACCUGUGAAUGUUGACUCUAUAAAGAGAUACUAUGCUUCUCGAUCAAUGAAAUAAAUUUUGGCCAUGAAUUCUCUCUAUAAAGAACCUUUUCUUCAUAAAAUGCAUGAUCUCAUAGCAUUCAAAAUCUUUUACUUAAAAGAACUGUUUUUUAUACAUGACUAAGGAGAUAACUCCAUCGAUUCUCAAAUUGGAGGGAUCUAAAUCAAAUUUAAACCUAAUACGUAUUGCACACCACACUGGGGGCAAAACGUGCACAUAAGGUUUUAUAGUGAACAAAAUCCCAAAGGGGUAUCAUCAAAGAACUUCUACAACCCCUUUUAUGAGAGUUGCUUAAAACAAAAUAUGAUUGAAAUUUUUAGUUUUCAUGAAAAAAACCAAUUUUUUUUAGUUUUCCUCUUAAAAAAUAAUUUCUCAAAAAUGGAAAAGACAAUACUCAAUAGACCAAGAAAAGGCCACAUAAAGAAGUAUAGCGCGUGGAGCAUAUUAUAGUUCAAGAGAACGGGUCAGACAAACAAAUGGAAAAGGGAGCUCAAAAAGUCUACAACGAAAAUAGGGAUCUAUGUUUUAAAAACAAUAAGUAACAAAAAAAAACAUGCAUACUAUAUUGUCAUAACACUAACUUGGCAGGAGAAGGUGUGAUGAAAGCCAAAAUAGUUCCAAAUUUUAUGAAACCGCUGAGGUACAAAAUCUCAAGUCAACGAAACUAUGGAAAAGGAUAGGGAUUGUAAACCAACACUGCUUCAUUUCCUCGAGGUAUGAUAUUUUCUUUAAGAAUUUUAAGAGGAGCCGAUCACCCGAUGUUAAGAUUAUUUCUUAGAAAAGCAUGAAGUUUUUUGAGAAUUUUAAGAGGGGUCGGUCACCUGAUUUUGGGCAUUUCUUAGAAAACCGUGGAGUUUUCUAAGAAUUUUAAGAUGGGUGGGUCACCAAAAAUUGAGACCAUUUCUUAGAAAAGCGUGGGGUUUUUUAAGAAUUUUAAGAUGGGCCACUCACCUAAUUUUGAGACCAUUUCUUAGAAAAGCGUGGAGUUUUCUAAGAAUUUUAAGAGGGGCCAGUUACCUGAUAUUGAGACCAUUUCUUAGAAAAGUGUGGAGUUUUAUAAGAAUUUUAAGAUGGCCAGGUCACCCAAUAUUGAGACCAUUUCUUAGAAAAGCGUGGAGUUUUCUAAGAAUUUUAAGAUGGCCAGGUCACUCGAUAUUGAGACCGUUUCUUAGAAAAGCGUGGAGUUUUCUAAGAAUGUUAAGAUUGGUCGGUUACCUGAUAUUGAAACCGUUUCUUAGAAAAGCUUGGAGUUUUCUAUGAAUUUUAAGAUUGGCCUGUAACUUGAUAUUGAGACUGUUUCUUAGAAAAGUGUGGAGUUUUCUAAGAAUUUUAAGAUGGGUAGGUCACCUGAUAUUGAGACCAUUCCUUAAAAAAGCGUGGAGUUUUCUAAGAAUUUUAAGAAGGGUCAGUCACCUAAUAUUAAAACCAUUUCUUAGAAAAGCGUGGAGUUUUCUAAGAAUUUUAGAAGGGCCGGUCACCCGAUAUUGAGACCGUUUCCUAGAAAAAAGCAUGGAGCUUUCAAAAAAAAACAUGGAGUUGUUCUAAAAUUUUUACAAUAGGCAGGUCACCAGAUAUUGAGAUCUCUUUCUAAAAGUCAUUUUCACUUACAUAUGGGUAGGUCACCCAUCAUAGUGAGACCACCAUCUUCCAUCUAGGUAGGUCACCUGUCAUAAUGAGACCACACACAUUUUUUAUAUUGAUUGUGGUUAAAGGAAAUCAUCAGAUAGGAUCUUAGGUUAACUCAACCAUACACAGAGUUUAGCUUUGGUUAAAGGGAAUCGUCAUAUGGAAUUUUAGGUUAACCGAGCUACACACCAAUUUUGCUUCGGAUUAAAGGAGAUCGCCAAAUGAGAUCUCAAGUUAACCCAAUCAAAAAGGCAGGUCGCCCAUGAAAAUAGACCAGCGUGCGUAUGUAGGCAGGUCGUCCCUAAAAAUAAACCAGGUUUGAGUGUGUAUGGACAGGUAGUCCAUGAAAAUAGGCAAAACUUUCUUAAACAAGUGAAGUCCUUAGACGAGUGGAUCACUCAACAAGUAAGGAAUACUUUUUCUUUUUUUCUUUACAAGCUUACUAUGCAAAACAUUGAUGACUUUUGCUUCGUAAGCAUUGUAAAGAGGGGGCAUCUGUUGCUACCCAAUUUUUGACCUAUGUUUUGAUAAAUUUUCAAAAAAAAAAAUAAGGGUUUACAUGUAGCGAUAACAUAAAGCAUUAGGGCUAAUAUUAAGGGAGCAAUAUGUCAAGGAGAUAAUUACUGAAUCUUAUAUAAUUACUGAAUCUUAUAUAAUUACUGAAUCAUAUAAAUACCAUAUAUAUAUAUAUAUGAUUUGAUUCGUGCUGGUUAUGGAAAAUAAUCACUGCAAUAUAAAAUACCAUAUAUAUGGGAUUUGUUGGUGAUGGUUAUAGAAGACAAUCUCUGUAAUAAUUAUUGCAAUAUUUCCUUAAAUACCACGUGUAGAGAUUUUCUAUAUAAAUUAACAUCCAGUCAUAAUAAAAGGGAGGAGAAAAUUGACAAGGGAUUUUACACAAUUUGAGAGAACAACAAAAAACCCUAAACCUAAAAAAAAAAAAAAAACCUUAAACCUCUCCCUUUUGACAUAAGGGCCGCUGCCUCCCUCUCUAAAAAAAAGGAGAAACCCUGCUUCAGGAUUUUAAACCAUCAGUUUCUUCUCCCUGUAGCCGAACAAGGCUUCCCUCCUCUAGCAGACACUCUCCCUUCCUUAUCCCUCACCAGAUCCCACUUUCUUCCCCAUCUCUAGAAAACACAAGUCGACCCCCCUUGGCCUUCUAUUUUAGUUUCCCAAAACCAGAGAGAACCAAAGCCAGCAUAGCCAUCCCCAUCAUCUUUUCCCCUCUCUCAACCCUCAGCUCUUUCCUCCUACACCGGCUACCAGCUUGCCAAACACCAGUAGAAUCUACAACCAGCAAACCCGUCAACAACUGACUCUCCUACGACUCAAACCUGUGUAGAAGAUCUAGAUCGAGAUACAGCCGCCACCAGUGCCGCUGCUGCCAACCACAGGAGUUGCCACCGGAAGAAGAAGGAAAGAACAGCAAACUAAGAAGAAAAAGAAAGAAGAAAGAAGUUAACAGAUCUAAAAAGAAAAAAAAAUACUAGAACAAUCUGGACAGAAAUGGAUUAAAAUCAAGUGCCCGCGUUUUCUUUUUUUCUUUUUACAGGUCACCACCGGCGAGGAAGGGAAGAAGGGAUGAAGCCAAGCAAGAUCCACCCCGGCCCCUGUUUUUCUUGUGGCACCGGCGCGUGGAGCAGACGCGCCACCACUGUUCCUGCAUUCCCAGAAGUGUUCCUCUGCAAUUCCUUAAUAUUUAGGUGUCUAUUUUUCAAUUUUUGAGUUGUAUAUUAUGUGUUUAGAUUUGUUUUGAAUUUAUGUUAUUUGUAAUUACAUAUGGUUAAAUGAGAAAAACAUAAUAAAAAGGGAUGUGUGUGUUUGUAGUUUUUAUGUAUGUUAUUGAAUUAUAAAAUCCAAAAAAAUAAAAAAAAUGAAUUUAAUGUUUUAAUUUGGUAUAUGGUCAAGUAUCUAAAGGACAAAUAAAAUCAUGUUGUAUUUCUCGUGAAAAUAUAAGAACAUGUUUCUACAUAUAUUUUGGGAUUUAAUAGCUAAUUUAUUAAAGCCUUAAGAAUUUGAUUAAUAUGUGGUUUGUUGAUUUUAAUUGUGAUUAAAUGUGAUGUGUGUGUAUUUUGCAAAGAAAAUAUAAAAAAAUGUUUUUUAUGUGUUGCAUAUGGCCAAUACCCUAACAUGUUUUGAAUGUUUUUUUAUAUAAAAAUAUUGGAAGUUUUGAAAAUGUGUUUUCGCAUGGAUUUCUUAAACACAAAAAUUAUUUUCUUGUAUUUAUAGAUUUUACAACAUGUUUGUAAAACUCCAAAGGGUGUUGGCCAAUAUUCCAAAUAAUAUAAAAAUCUUAUUUUAGGGAGAAAUCAUCUAUUAUUCACUAUUAAUGUUUGGAUAAAAAAAUCUCAAAGGGAUGAAUAUCCAAAAUAUUAUUGGGAAUAACUUAUUAUUCUUCGCUGUUAAUAUUUGGAUAAAGAAGCCCUCAUUGGUAAAUAUCCAAAAUAAUUUUCUAGGAAUAAUAAGUCACCACACAUUCUUGAAAGAAGCCUUGAUUAUAAUUGAGGACACUUCAAUUCUUUUUUUACUUCACGGUUUAUGAGUUGUGAGAGUAUAAAACAUUAAGGCAAAAUUAGGAUUUUAAAGCGCCCUGAAUUUCUUUAGAUUUCUAAAUUUUUGUCCCUCUUUAUUGCGAUUUACGAGUCGCAAACUCUUGAAAUAAAUUUUUCUAAGGGAAAAAUGAGCUUUUAAAGCACAUGGAAUCUCUUUGGAUUUCUACCUUAAUAAAUUUAGUUUGAAUCAAACCUAGGAAAAACUGAUGGGAUUAGAAAACAUCAACACCAUAGCAAUUAUAAAGCAAACCAAACACCAAGUAGCUUACUUUAGGUAGGGCAUACUAGGGGUGCUAAUACCUUCCUUUUACGCAACCAGUCCCUUGCCUUAGAAUCUCUGAAAGACCAGUUAGGGUUCCUAGUGACCAAAAUACUAGGUGGCGACUCCAAAGAAUCAAUCAAGCAAAAAUAAACGAAAAAUACUAGGUGGCACCAUCGGACACCGCACAGGGGACGUGCAACAAACUUAUGCAGCUACCUCACUCCAUCUUCGAGCGUAUCCCUUUAUGGACUUUUUGUUGUCCUUUUCAAUUGCUUGUAAGCUUAAUCGAUCAAGGCCCACGUCUAUAUGAACUCAUGAAGGCAUCAACUAAAUCCUUUCAUUUUUUAACCUUAGCAUUGUCCAACCGCAUAUACCAAGUGAGGGCAGCGUUACUCAAGCUGUCUUGAAAAAAAUGAAUUAAUAGUUUUUCAUCAUCAACCACCUCAAUCAUUUUGUUGCAGUAUGCUUUGAGAUGAGUUAUAGGGCAUUAAAUUCUCAUAUAUUUGAUAAGUUCUGGCAUUCUAAACUUUUUAGGAAUAACCACGUUAGGCACCGAACACAUCUCAGCGGCUUUUAUAGGAUCAUAUAGGAGAAUUCCCUCAAAUGCCCUUAUCCUUUGCUCUAGGGCAACCAAUUUGUUCAUAUCAUCCUUUUUUUUUACCAUCUUGCCUUUUUGAGAUUCAUUCUCUGUAGAAUCAAUGGUAAACAACAUUGUCGUAGAGUGGCUGGUUGGAAAUGCAUGGUUUGUUGAAAAUCAAAUGACAACCCAGUUGCCCCCAGAUUCUAUGGAUUGAAGGGGCUUACGGGCAUAGGUUCAAGCUGAGUUAUAUGUGUUGCUUUUUCGGAUUUGUCUCUCAAGGCUUCUUCGAGUAGACUAGUAAGCCUUGCGACUUCUUCUCUAAAAUUAUCCAUCUAUUUUUUAUGUUGGGCUUACAAGGCUUAGUCCAAUAGUGCCAAGAGUUUGGCGAGACGAGCCUAAUAAAACUACUUUGGGUGAAUUUGAUGAAGAAGGUUUUGAUACCUGUUAUUACGACCAAAAACUUGAUCACAUCAACUAUAAGCCUGAAAGCUACGAAACAUUUCUGCUACGAUAUUUGAUCAAUUGUAAGUAUUGGGGUGGUGCGAAUGUUAGUGCGCCAAUCUUAGUAUAUCUUGGUGUAGAGGGUAUUAAUGCAGUGGAAGAAUAUCAUUUGUAGCUUAUCCUUAAAGCUGGCUAAGAGAGGCUUGUGUCUUUGGAAUGGAAUACAUUUGUAGCUUAUCCUUAAAGCUUUAUUUUGGACCACACUCGAAUUAUGAGUGUGGAUGUGCUGUAGCUUUUCUAGUGCACACAGCCAAAAGCCACCAUGAUUUAUGUGAUUGACGAGAGUUCUUCCAUACAUAUCAUAUGGUCCACAAUUGCUAUCAUAAUUCUUGGAAGAAUUAUUGAUGUCAUUCUUCAUAUGUGAUUGAAAUUAAAGAAUUUAUAAAAAUCUACCAAAUACUUUGACGAAGACUAAAUUAUUGGUUAGACCUUUUUUUUUAUUAAAAAAAAACACCCUUGUAUUUAUUUGGUGCAUUUAUAGAAAUUCAAUAAAUUAUCUUGGAGAAAAUAUAUCAUUUUUAAUUACGGGACCUUGCCUGAUCGAUCGUGUGACACAAUCUACUUCUAGGCUUCAUGAUUUACGUGACCCUCACACCACUCUUGACUACAAAUGGUGCACUCUUCCAACAUUCGAUGAUUAUUCUUGCGCAUGCUAGCUACUUCUAUAUAUAUAUAUAUAUAUAUAACAAAAGAAUAAUAAUUAUGCUGCCCUAUAAAGCAUAUAUAGAUAUUUUACAUGUGAUAUGUUGUGGGUUAAUUAUUUUUUAAAAAAGAAUUUAGGUCUUGUUAAUGUAUUUUUAUAGAGAUCACUUAAUAUGAUCUGAUUAAUUUGAUGAGUCAAAAAAUAACAUAGAUAACCAAUAAAAAUAUAGAUUGUCUAAUAAAAAUUCAAGAAAAAUAUCUUUUUUAUUAGAAAAAAAAUAUUGAAAUAACCACAUAUUAGAUAGAUUUGAGUUAACUAGGAUUAAUCUAUUAAAUUUACGAUCCAGAUUAUGAAAUCAUAAUAACUCUAAAUAAAUCAAAUCAAAACAAAUCUUAAACUCAAUUUUUAAUUAAUUUAAUUUUAAAAAAUUAAACUAAAAACAUUAAGUUCUUUCUCACUAGAGGAAUGUCUCAAUAACUAUCGUGUACAGCUUCUAUAAAAUUGAGUAGCAUGACUUCUUUUUUUUAAUCAUGAAUUAUAGCAAUUUCAUUGAAUCAAAAUUAAAGCAACAUACAUCACUAUUUUAAAAAUUCAUUCGCUGUGUAAAUUACAACUUAAUCAAUGAAAAUAGAUUAAGAAAAAUAACCAAAACAAAUAGUGAAGUAUGGCCUUAAGGUCAUUGCUAGUCUUUUUGUUGUUGUAUCGAAACUUUUAACCUCUUUUAUUCAUAUCUUUUCUUGCUAAAAAAAAAUGAUUAUCAUUACAAAAAGUAUACUUCUGAAACCCAGCUGAUCCAGGAUUAGAACUGAGCUGCGUUGAAGAAAAAAUAAGAAAACAAAAAACCCAGUGUUACUCGGCGACUUUGUCAAAAACCCGAUUACAAUUCAUUAUUUUUUUUUUUUUAACUAAAAUAAUAUCGUUUUGAUUUAAAAAAAUAUUUUACCUGAACGACUCGAUGACCUAAUCAAAACUCGGACCUUUGACAAAGUCUCAAAUUAUUAUUAUUAUUAUUAUUAAUGAAAAAUCUCACCUUUCCAUCUUUCCAUGAUUAUCAGAGAAUAAUUUUUUUAUUAAUUAUAAAAUACAAUUAUCAAUUAUUUAUUUAAACUAAAAUAUUGGUAAAGAAAAUAAACAAAGAACAAUAUUGUAUAUUGAUUUAUAAGGAAUUAAAUAUAAAUUUAUUUAAUAUUAAAGGAAAGAGAAAGAGAGGCGAAAACGACUGUCAUGGGCAUAGUGAAAAAAUCACCGGUCACAAACAAGACACAGUGUGCCCAAAACAUCUUGGAGGAACAUAACAUUUAUUAAAUCAAUGUUGAUAUACUUCUUUUAUUAAAACAAAACAACAAAAAUUCAAAUAGAACUUUUUUUUGUAGAUUUUGUUUUUUUUUAAAGGACUGACACUCCUGUUAAUAUGCUUCAAGUCGAGAUUAAUUUUAUACCUUUUUAAGUAAAACUAGCACAUUGUUCUGUGUUAUACUACCGAUCAGAGUAAAUAUGUUUUUUAAAGCAUGAAAAAAAGAAUUUAGGUCUUGUUAGCACACUUAUUUGAAAAUGAAAUAGAUUUUAACAACGAAUUAAAAUUAACUAUAUAGUAAAAAAUAUUUUUAUAUAAUAUUGAGAUGGAAUUACAUUAAAUUUACUUUAAUCAACCUGGUUUGACAUGCAAAAUUUGUGGAGAAUCUUGAAAAAAAAAUAAACUGUAAAGCUAAAUCUCUAAUUAUCUCAAUGUUCAAGUACCUAAAUCGUAAAAAUAACAACACUCAAUUAAUUAAAAAUAAAACCAUAUAAAUUCGAGUAAACAAACAAAACUUGCGAUGCAAGUCAUGCACGCCAUUGAAUUCAAUAGUUUUUUUUUAAUGACAAUAAAUUGCAUGUUAAUUUUUUUGUAUGAAACAUUUAAAAAAAAAAGCCAUUACAGGCGCAUGAAAGAAAUUGUAAUAUUUUGGUUUUAAGUUAAAUAAAAAAUAAUUCAUUUAUAACAAAAGGAGAAAUUGCAUUUUUUUUAAUUGAUGGAUAAAAUAUGCAUAAAAAAAAAUAGCCUUAGUGAUAAAGCUUAACUCGUUAAAUUUAUGAUUCGAGUCAUAGACUUAAUCAUUCUAUUUUUUUAAUAUAAAUUCAUAUCUAACUUAAAUAUACUAAAAAAGAGACGAAAAAACCUAAUUGUGCGACCCAAUAAUUCAACACCCUAGGCAUUUGAAAGGAAAAGCAUAGGUGCAUGGACUUUCAAGCCUAGGCUUGUGUACUUGGGCCUAUUAAGUUUUCUUUAUUUUAAGGUCACUCACCCCUAUUUGUUUUGGAAAAAAAAUCAAUAAUAUGUUGUCUAUUGUUGCAGACAACGUGUCAUCUAAACAUUUAUCAAUCCAUAUUCUAACCAUCACCGUGGUAGUUAGAAAAUUAGAGCAAUGGGGUUUUUACCUAGAAAACUUGUUUGUGAACCUAUUUCAAUCCAAAACACCCUACAAACACACUUAGAAUAUCAACAAAUUAACUUAUCAACCUAAUAAACCGAAAAAAAAAAAGAAGAUACAGACCACAAAUUAAACUGAAUAAAAUAUCUCAUCCUCAAAUUAGAUAUGGUUUUGAGGCUAUUUUGAGGCUUAAAACAACCAUUAUAAGACUCAUCUCAUAUAAUGAACCCGCUGACAUCAAUUUUAACCUUUUUGUUGUUGGAAUACGUGUCAAUUACGAGGUUUCUCUCCUUAUGCUGAAAUCUAGCAAGCUUUAUCUCUCUCUCUCUCUCUCUAAAAAAAAGAAUUGAAAAUGAUGAAAUAAUAUUUAACACCAAAAUGAAAAUUUAGGAAACCUAAGGGACUGAUGAUCACCUAUUAAGUUAAAACGAUGGAAGACUACACUAAAUUGUUUUGAUGACAAUAGAGUCUUCCACCUAUUUUGAUCGUGUUUUUUACAUCAAUAUUUUUUUAUUAUUAUUUCAUCAUCUCUUCAAAAAAAAAACAAACGAUUGACUUUUAAUUUAGACCUAAAAGGGUUCGAUUGUGCAAAACAAAAAAUUGAAGAUCAAAUUGAAAAUUUUAAAAAUUCAUUAUUCUAAUCCAUAAUGAUUUGUGAGAGAGUGAAUAGUAAAUAAGUGCAUAGUAAAAUCACCACCUUUUUUAAUUUAUUUUAACUGUCUAUAUAUUUUUUAAUUCUUUUAAUGAUUUUUUUAUUCAUUUCCCCCCUUCAUUCAUUUUUAUUAUUUAACAUUUGGUUGAUUUUAAAUUUGUUUUUAUAAAAUCUUAUGAUUUGCUUUCUAUUAUCGUAACCUCAAACAAACAUCUUGAUAUUUAAUUUGUAUUUAAUUUUACAAGUAUUUAUUUUAUUAUUGUAUAAUUAAAUAAAAAAUAAUUUUAAAAAAGUUUAUAAAGUCAAUGGAUUCCAUUAUCCAGAUGAUGAAUUUGGUGGGUUAAGCUACAAAACCCGGAUCAAUCUAACAUAUCAGCAUCUCAAUGUUUUAAAAAAUAUCACAUUCAUUUUAAUUUUUUAAAGACAAACCAUACUUUUUUACUAGCUGUUCGGGUUACCUUUAAACUUGCCACGUUAGCUAAGUUAUAUUGAAGUAAUUUUUAUAUAAUUUAAUUUUAAACCUGAAUAAAAAAAAAAAUAAGAAGAUUUCUAGAUUAAACCCUUAAAUAAAAUUUAAUAAUAACAUCAAAUAUUAUAUAUAUAUAUUAAAAAGCUUUGAUUAGCACGACUAGUAAACUAGUGAAACCUGUAAAAUCAGCCGCCCGGGUCUACCAUGUUCUGAUGUUAUCAAAGGUACUGAAUAUGGAUCACAAAAUACCUUAAUUGAUGUGAUACAUCGAUUUUUCCAAAACGGUAUCCAUACUAUCUUUGAACAAAAACACGGUUUUUUCAAAACAUUUUAUUUUUAAAUUUUUCCAAACAAAAUCCUGGCAACUCAUUAUUUAUCAACUUGAUGCUUGAUUAAUAAUUUUUAGCCAUGACCUGGUGUUGCUCAAUAUCUACAGCUAGCCAUCCAUCCAUGGCCGCAAAUUUAUGCCUUCUACUGCGCGAUCAAAGGGGCAAAGAUCCAAUCAGCCUCCUGCUGUUAAUGACUCUUUUUAGAAGGAUUGAGAAUAGGGUAAUAAUUGUUUUUAAAGUGUUUUUUAUUUUAAAAUAUAUUAAAAUUAUAUUUUUUUUAUUUUUUAAAAAAAUAAUUUUCAUCAAAAUGAUAUGAAAACAUCAAAUAUAUAUUAAUUUAAAAUAAAAUAAAAUAUGAAAAAUUUAAAAAAAUAAAAUUAAUUGCAUUUUUCAACCGCAUUGCCUGCAUAACACAUUAGGACUGCGUUAACAUGUUUUAGAAGUUCCAGCCAAGCAAGUCUAUCUAUGACUUGGUCCAAGUUAAGUUUGUAAGAAAAUAAAUUAAAAAUUUAUUUAAUGUUACGCAAUUGACGUGGUAAAUCAAGACGCAACUUGAUCAUAAAAAAAUCAUAUUAAUCUAAUUAACAUGUAACUCAAGCUUAGGUUAUGACAGGUUUUAUUUGUUUAGUUUUUUUUAUUAUUAAUAUAAACGUUCGAGCUAGUUUGGGUAUAUUAACUAAUCCUACAGGUUUUAAAAUUAACGACCAUGUAAAUUUUCAAUAGCUCUAAGAUUUGUAUAAUUCAAAUUGAUAAUUUUUAAAAAAUAAAUUUAAAAUCUAAUCGAUUGAGUUACUACUUUUAAAACCUGGCCAAUGAACAUUAUUUCUUUAGUUUCAAAGAAUGGCAUUCGGACCGGUGUGUAAAAUUUAUCAAAUAAAUUUAAUGAGGUAGACGGGCAUCAAUACAACAAUGAUGUCCAAAAUAUAGAUAUCCGAUUAAGUUGGUAACAUUAAAUAGUAACAAAAUAUAAUAAAAUAAACUUUAAAAAUAGAUAUAUAUAUCAUUAGAUCAAUAUGGGACCGAUUUGUAGAUCCACAAUAAUCCAACAAUAUAUAAGAAUGACUUGGGAAUUAAUUAGUAAAACUCGAAAGCAAACCUAGAUUUUCAUAAAGAUAUAUAUUGCGCCACUCCCCUGAAGCCAGAUUUUUGCAAUUAUUGUGAUCCUCAAGUGCAAUAAAGUGUGAGCGUGUAAAAGUCAAAGUCCUCCCAAAGUAAAGGGGGAUCUUAUUAUUUAAGGAUGGCUCUGAUACAGGAUUUGGAUCACCAGAGAAACCUCAAAACAACAACCUAGCUAACCGCUGGACACAUCUUGCCAUGAUUUUUCAAAGGCUAUUUCUUCUCCAGUUUUUCUUACUGGUUUCCUUAACCACUGCAACAGCAAAACGUCUUAAAACUAUUCCAAGGCUUAGUCCAAUAGGGCCAAGAGUUUGGCG
rnacentral:lncRNA from 1 species